AUGGUAUACUAGUUAAGUGGCCCACGCGACAUGACGAGAAGAUAAUACAAUAAUAUAUUAUUAUAACUAUUAAUAUUAUUUGUUUUCUAUUAUUCAUUAAUUUUUUUAAUAUUAUUUAUUUCAGUAUUGAAUAAUUAAAAGUUAAAGAAAUAAAUUAAAGAAUGAAAUUAAAGUAUAUUUUUUUCUAAAAAUAUUUAAACUUAAUAAGUAAAAUAAAUAAAUUAGUUUAAAAUAAAAUAAAAGUUCAUUACGAUAUUAAGAAAAAUGAAUAAUAUUUUUCUAUUACCAUCAAAGUAGAAUUUAAAAAUAAAAAAAUAUUAAAAAAUUAAUUAGAGUGAAAAUACUAUUUUUGGUAUUCUUGGCGGCAAUAUUUUUAUUGUGCCUUCAUUUACUUUUAUCGUCACACAUACAACUAAUAAAGUAUUUGAUUCCUAAAUUUUAAAUUAGUGAAAAAAAUCAAUAAGUAAUUAUUAGAAGCAUAAAAAAUAAGACUAAUAAAAAAGUAUUCGAAAUCAAAAUAGAUAAUUUUUACACUGAAAAAAAAAAUCAACUACCAAAUAAAUAUUCUAAUAUUAUUAUUAUAUUAUUAUAUAAAUUAAUCUUUAAAAAAACUGUGUGAGCCUCAUAACCUUUCAAAAUAAGAAGAUGCUUUUUUUAAGGUCGCCAAUUCAUAUAUAUUUUGAGGCAUAAAGUGAAAAGUAUACAAAAUUUAGGAAUCAAAAUUGGUAUGCAAAAAGAAGUUAAAUAGAUGAUGGCAUGAUAAUUUCGUUAAUUCUGAAAUAUUUUUUAACGGUUGCUAUUUCAUCGCGAUGAAAUUAAGAGGUUUGAAAAUUUAAUUGAAAAAAAAAAAUAGGAAUCAAAAUAAAAAAUGGUAGAAAGUUUGGGGAGCACUAUGAGAUUAAUCCUAAAAAAAAUUGUGGGCCCGACAACCAUCCAAAAUAAGGGGAGCCCUUCUUUGGAUUCCCAAUUAGUGUAUUUAUAAAAUAAAUUUUAAUUUUAUUAUUAAUUUUAAAUUUAAAUUUAAAUUUAAAUUUUUUUUUAAGAACUAAAGUGAAAAAUAUAUAAAAUUUAGGAACAAAAAUUAACAUACAAAACAAAACUAAGUAGCAUGGCAAUUUCGUUUAAUUUAAUACCUCUUUUAACGUUUGGAAUAUAAUCGCAAUGAAAUCAAGAGAUUAAAAAUUUGAUUGUAAAAAAAAAUAUUAAAAACAAACAUAAAAAAUAGUUAAAAGAUUAAGAACCAAUGAUAUAAAUAAUUUUUAAUAAAAAUGUAUACGGUCGCACAGCCUCUAAAAUAAAGAAAAGGCUCGGUAGAAAAGAAAAGAAACAAAAAAAAAGAAAAAAGAAAAAGGAGAGGAGUGGGUCCCGCUGGGCCUGCCAGAUGCGGGGAGGGAUUUCCUGGGUUGCCAAUUUAUAAUUUUAUCUAAAUAUCUUUACUAUUUCAUCAAACACAAUAGAUAGUUUCGUGAGACAUUCUUAUUUGGAAUUACGUAACAAUUAAUGAUCUCUCUUUAGUUGUGGUCUUGUGGAGAGGGGUUGAAAAAAGAAAUAUGUUGAUAAUAAAAAAACAGACCCAAAACAUAUAUUAAUAGGCACAAUAAAUAAUUCAAUAGUGCAGAGGAAUGUAUAGUAAUGGCAAUUAACCAUAUAUUAAGAUCCGAAGAACCAAAAAAAAAAAAAAAAAANAAGAAAAUAAUCCAGGUGCUGGUCCUUGAUCAAUUAACUUUAUUGGUUUUGCAAAACAGAGUAGGAAAAGGCCUGAAAACAUUUCGAAACAUAAUCACAGUUUCCAAGUAUAUUUCGGAGUUUAAUUAACUUGAAAGAAAAGUCUCUAUUUCAUCUUCUAAAAAGAAAAAGGCAUGCAGUUACUUUUUUUUAUAGAUCCAAGCACAAAAAAGGUGUUCUAGAUUCCAAUAAGAUCUAAAGUUUGUGAGGCUUCUUUCUUUAUCCCUAGCUCCCAGUUACUAUUAGAAAGUUGUGGUUAAAGAAUAUAAAGAAUAUAAUAUUUUUCCUAUUGACAUUUUCCUCCAAAUAUCUAUCCAAUUGCACCUUUGAUAACAUACACUCAGUACUCCUUUUUAAUUUGCUCAGCAUCUGAUUCUACUCUCUCCCCUAUCAAUUGCACCUGGUGCACGUCGACUAUGAGCGUCGCAAUCUCAUCUUUGCCUUAGACCUCCACCACUUAAAUUUUGCAGCUUAAUAUUUCUUUUUUUUGUGGAAAAAGUACGUUUAAUUUCGUUUCAUGGGCUAGCGCAGCGCGCGUGCAGCGCAAUAGUUUUCUUUUUUUUUUUUUUUACUCACAGCUUGUUUGAAUAACACAGCGUUCUCGUCUUAUAUAGCACAGCGCUUCUCUUUCAACUGUUCCAUCAAAACCUUUUUUUCGUCAUGGAUCGACAUGCAUAUAUCCUUGUCAUGGUAGAUAGGAGAAGGGAUAAGAAGCACACAAACCACGGAAUAUCCUUUCGCUGUCCUUGGAAUGGUGAUGCCAUGGACGAUCGACGUUCGCUUCUCUCGUGGUCAUUAUUUUCUCAUGAGUUGGAUUCUAUCUUAACCCAUCAGAUUCUAGAGUUAUCACUUACCUUUCUCUUGGUGUAGAAGGAAGGUAUUAUGUUAACAUCUUAUGACUGAUGUAUAUGAUACAACCUUUGAAACACAUCAUCAUAGGGCCUUUUUUUUUUAUGUUUCUAAUUUUUCAUUUUUUCACAUUUCACAUCCUUUGGAUGCGGAGAAGUUUUGUUACAGAAGAACAAACUUUAAAUUAGAGUAUCUACUAUCUACUAUCUAUUAUUAUUAUUAUUUUUAGGUUAUCUCUUAUAGUAAAAUAUUUUGACUUGUAAUUUGGCACCGAAUAAAGAACCAGAACUAGAGUUUAGGGGGAAUGGUCACCANCGAACAAUAAAUUAAAAAAAUUAGAUUGGAUAUAUAUAUAAAAAUUAAAUUUAUAAAGUCUUACCCAUUAGACUUUGAUCAAAUAGUUAAAACUUUACAUAUAAAUGAGUUUUUUUUUUUAUAAUUGAGCUCAACUUUAUAUUUUAAUUUUGCUAGAAACGAAAUAAUAAAAAUAUACAUUAUAUAUAUAUAAUUAUUUAUUUAUCUAUAUAAAUAUAAAUUAUAUAAAUUAUAUAAAUUAUAUAAAUAUAAAAUAUAUGUAUUCGAGCUGCUCUCGAGCCGAACACAAGCGAGCUGACCUUAGCUCGUGUGCGGCUCGUUUACUUAACGAGCGAUUCGAUCUCGAGCUCAUUUCGAGUCAAACACGAGCUAACUCGCGAACAACAAGCUGAAUUGCCACCCCUAGUCACCAGGGCAUGCAGGUACACAUCAAAAUGCUGCACCAUAUCUAGUUGAUGUUGCAUUGGAUGUGAAACUACAUCUUGUUAGGAUGAGCACUAUUUGGUCGAUCCGGACUGAGUGAAAUAAGUCAGUUUAGUUCAGUUUUAUGUGUAAUUCGAUUUGGUUCAAUACUAAGAUUGAAAAACCAAUCAAAUCAAAUAGACCAAAUUAAUUAAUCAAAAUUUGACAAGUUUUAAUGUAAAAUAUGCAUUAUUAUGUUAAUCAUUAUCAUCUUUAAUUAAUUAAAUAUUUUUAACAUACAAUUAACUAUGAUUAUACCCUAUUUUAGUAGUUUAAAAAAAAUUAAAUCAAACAAAAACAUUUUUGUUCAAACCAACAAACCAAACCAAACCAACUUAAUUAUUUCGCUUUGGUUCGGUUCAGUUGAAUUCAUGCUUCUAGUUUGUUUCGCUUUGGUUCGGUUCAGUUGAAAAGCAUUGGUUGGCAACAACAUUGUCAUUUUGAACCGACCGUCCCUAGUACAAGUGGCAAAGGGUUUGGUAGUUGGUACCCGAGACCCAAAUUCGAAUCCUAUUUGAUUCAUAUUUCUAGCUAAGUUUAUUUUUAAAUAAAAUAAAUAAAACGGGUAGCGUGCUACUUAUUUCUCAAAAAAAAAAAAACUUUGUCAUUUUGAUAGUCUCUUCAUGUUGGUUCUUCUUUUUCUCUUUUUUUUAAAAAAAGUAAAUCACCUUAUAUAUCUCAGACAUUAUUGUUAAAUUUUGGUAUUCCUAGAGAAAUUGGUAAUGUUUAAUUAUUCAGUUAUUUGCAAUAAGAAGAAAGACAAAAAUUGGAAAUUUAAAAUGAGAAAAUCUAUGAUUAGAUGUGACAUUAUUUGUUGUCCUUUUUGAAGUUAAUUCAAUGCAUUAGUCAACUUAAUUAAUUCAUUUCACAGAUGCUAUUCCACGAUAUUGACUAAAUCAGGAAAAUAUAUAUUGUUUGAAAGCUCUUUUUUUUUUUAAAAAAAAUUAUAGGUAAUAAAAUGAUUGAAGAUUGAUUUGCAAAUGAUAGUUUCUUUUUUUUUCUAAAAUAACAAAAAAAUUACUUGUUUGCUAGCUGUUAAAAAAGGUUCAGGGCAAGAAAUUAUUUUAUUUAAAUAACUUAAAGAAGGAACUAACUUUUUAUAGCCAUGCAUGCAUCAUCAAAACCAUCCAUGCUCAUCAUUUCUCAUUCUAUCAUAACUUACCAAAGAAAACUACUACUUUCUCCUUUUAGGGAAAGGAAAAAUCUGAAAACAACUUAAUAUUACUCUAACCAAUUCCAUAAACUAACUAUAUGUUGAAAUAUGAAAUUCAAGCUAAGCAACCUUUUUGUUCUACCAAAAAUAGGAGAUGCUAAUCUUAUCUUUUUCAAUUCCAAAAGAACAUGCUUUGGAGCUUCCUUUUUUGUGCUGCUUUUGCAAAUUUGUCCAAUAAUAUCUUUAAAACAUAAUAGUAGGAUGCUGUUAGGUACUUUAAAUUCUUCAACUUGGCUCUUUACAUGUACUUCAAAUUAAAAAAAAAAAAAAAGGCAAAAAGACUCUUUAUACAUAUAAAUUACUCAAUUUUAUGGUAGUGGGAAUCAUAAAAGCAAAGGUAUAUAUAUGUAGGAGAGAAUCAGGUGUGCAUACACAUAUGCUAUCCUAAUGGGUUGCCAAAUAGGGUGGCAUUGAGCUCCAUCCUUUAAAUGGCUAGGAUAUAUAUAAAAGCUCUAACCAAAGUGGCAUCUUAUUGAAACCCAAUAUCAAAAGCAAGGGUACCCAAAAGAAAAAAAAAAAAACGAGAUCGAGUAAAAACCCUAAAAAAAGAGUACAUGGUAAUUUUCUUGGAUUUUAUUUUCUCGCAAGGGAAUGCAUAUAGACUCUAGAUAUGUACAACAAAAGCUCGGCGAUCCUUUGCUUAGUGUUUCUUCAGAAAAUUCUAUAACAUCAUCUCAAGGUAAAGAACAAAAGUGCAUGCAACACGCACACGCAUAAGCGUGUGCAUACACACGCAAAAAGAAUCCAUACCCGUACCCUCCUCGUAUGUAUAAAUUAUGUUCGCAUACAUGCGCGCACACUCACAUACGCAUAAAAUUGCAUGAACUACACAUUUGCGUGCGUACGUUAGGUUAUAAUUGUCAUUUUCGCACAAUUUGUUCCUCUUUUCUUCACGUACAACCAUUCAGUAUCUCCUAAAUGUGCAAAUUAAUUAAUAUAUGAUGUAUUACUGACACGAAGCACAUUUUAACCGUUGUCGUGACUAUGAUCCAACGGAAAUUAAGUUAGGCCCGACAAAAUCGAGAUUUUCUGUUGUACUCUUUAUGCUCAAGUUGUUUAAUGAUAAAAAUCUUUCACUUGAUAAUUUAGACAUGCUUUACAUUCAACCAGAAUAAGAAUAAGGUAGAUGUAUAAGUUGUGUAGAAUCUUGCAUUCUGCACUAAACAUGCGUGUAAGCAUGCAUAUAUACCAUUUUACACAUUUUCAUUCUUUGUGAAUUAGUGGAUGUAAAAUAUUAAAAAUUUUAUUUACUGAUAGUUUAAAUUAUAUGUUGCUUAUUCAUGAUAAGAGAGAACUUAACAAGUACUAUGGAACCUACAUUAUAUAUGCGUCGAACACUCGAUAUCCGAAAAGGAAAAUGGCCCGAGAGAGCUCAUCAUAUAUAAUGGAGAAUAAUGGGUAAUGGUGUGCACAAUCAUUCAAAAUAAGUAAGAAUAGAAUCUAAAUAAUGGGAAUUUGUGUCAUUAAGAGCCCGUUUGAAUGAGAAUAUAUUAAUGUAUCAAUUUAUCCGGUAAUAAUUUGUACGAAAUAAGAAUUUUUCUUUUUGUGAUUACUAUUUAAAAUUAUUUCUAUUAUCUGUUCAAAGUUUUGGCAGCUUUCAAUGAUUAGAAUAUAUAUAAUGUAUCCUACCUUGACUCUAAGAAAUUUAUAUAAAUUAAGAAACAGCUACAACACUCUAAAUUCUUGGUAAUACAUAUUACAUUCAGCAAAUAACAUUCCAUCCAUCCAUUAUAAGAUGAGCAAACACAAAAAGAAAAAAGAAAAAAGAAAAAUAUUUACAUUGUUCUCAGUCAUGACUAAAUCUUUCAUUAUCCUACUCAGUAAGAUUAGCUUAUACAAACACUAUACGACAGCAUGUCCGCUAAAAAGAAAAAACCUUUGCUUCUGAAAAUGGACAUAGUAUUAUUUGCGUAGCAACAAAAUGUUAAUGAAACAAGCAAGACCCUCGUGUUUACUCACCUCUUUUUUUUUAUAUUUAUUAAUACAUCGAUUGAGCAGUCCAAGAUUGUUACCAGCCCCCACGAGGAUCUCAUGGAAUGGGCCCACUCACUCUCCCCCCGCAUAGAAAUUUCUAUGCGGUAAAUCUCGCAUAGAAAUCGACCCCUAUUGAAAAACCAAGUGCACUCGUAUUAUUAUUAUCAUUUUCAAAUUUAAAUUUAAUUUUAGAUAAUUGUAUGAUUUAUAAUUAACUAACGGAAUUGGGGUCGCACCCAAACGGGCUCGAGAGAGCACGAUUGGGUGCCUAUUUAGGGCUACAAAUCACAGCAUCCCAUUAGAUUAAGUUGCCUUUUAUGGUGCGCUCGGCCCGUUCGCUGAACCACGCCACUGAGCCUCUUUUGCAUUCUAUUUUCAGGUGGUUUAUUUUGGAGUACAGCUAAUAUCACUUUCUUUUCUUCAAAAAAAAAAAAAAUAUAUAAUAUAUCAAAUUUAAUUAUCAAAACAGUACAGCUUAAGUUUUAGUGUACACAGGGGGGAGAGAGAAGAGCCUUAUUCCCACCGACUUGCCUUAUCCUCACGCCAAAAGUCGAGAGCGGGACAGUGUCGCGGCCUCGGUGCGCUGUGGAGUGAAUAACAAAGAAAUGUUCGAUGGAGGGCUUGGGACUAAGCAGCGCCUAAUAUAUCAGGCGGUUGGCACCUGCAUGUGGACUGUAGUGACUCCUGAUGAGAGAGCUAUAAGAGAAGACGACAGCAUGGGAGAGGGAAGCGCUUUUGAAGAAGCACUUUAGCGCAACCGGAGGAGGGCGACGGGGAAGAAGAAAUGCAGAAGCGGUAAGGCUUCUUCUUCUUCUUCUUCUCUUCUUCUCUUCUUCAUCACUUCGCGGAUUAUCUACGACUGAUUAUUUUCAAUUAUUCUUGUUUUAUUUUUUUUUUUGGGGGGGGGGGGGGGUUAAUUCUAUAUUUCUAUCCGUUACGGAACUCCCGAAAAAAUCGGUUGCGGGGGCCAGAGCGGUGGGGGCGCUAACGUGCGCCGUCCCCACCAUCACCGCGACCCGAGCUCACCCCGGAGAGGGAAAAAAAACGGAGAAGAGGGGCGCUCUCUCUCUCGCGCGCGCGCUUCUCCCGAGUGUUCUAGAAUUUCUACAUAUAUUUAUACGAGAUUAUAAAUUUAGUUAUUAUUAUUUCCAUUAUAUUUAUUAAUAUUAUAUAUUUAUAUAUCUGGAGAUAAAUGUGGCCAUAAAUGUGUGGAUGGAUCCGUACACUUCUUGCAUGGCCGACCAUCGAUCCGAAUUUAGGUGAUCACCCAUCUCCUUCUCCAUUCCAACCCUAAUCAUUUUUUUUUUCUUAAUUUUUUUUUUCUUUUUUUACGUUCUACUAUUUUAUCUUCUUCUUUUCUCUCUCUCUCUCUUUUUUUUUUUUUUUUUUUUUUUUNUUUUUUUUUUUUUUUUUAUUUGAUGAUUCCUUGGGUUCUUUAAUGGGAAAUUGGUGGUGUGGGGCGAUCGAUGGUGGUCUCGGGUGGUCCGAGCGGCGAAUCCGUAUGGCGUUUGUGUGAUCGCCGUUCGUGCAUGUCGCCUGGAGAUCGCCUCGGAAACGCACUUUUUCCUCAUAACUCUUCUUCUUAUUAUCAUCAUCAUCAUCAUCAUCAUCAUUCAUGCGAGAGAAAAAAGCGCAAGAGAGAGAGAGAGAGAGAGAGAGAGAGAGAGAGAGAGAGAGAGAGGGACCACUCCUUAUUUAUUUAUUUAUUUAUUUAUUUUUACCUCUUUCAUGUUUUCUUUUUUCUUUUCUUUUUUUUAAAUCUCGCCCCCACCACCACUCCCUCAGUAACCAACCCCAUCCUCUUCCUCGUUUCUUACAAAAUCUACUCCACACCACUCCGCUCCGCAGAGCGGAAUGCAUUUGCUGCUUCCAAUUAUUCUUAUUUUUUCUUUCGCUGUCUCUGGCUGAGCGCAGAGUGGCUUUUGCCGCGGCGGGUCGGGUAAUCCGUCGAACACAUGAGCUUCAGCGAGAAUCACAAAUACAACGGCGGCCGCAGCGCGUCGUCGCGGUUGGAGCGGCUGUUGUGGGAUAGAGAGCUCCGGAGGUCCAGCAGGCCUUCUCAUCAGCAAGAAGAACCCAAUUAUACCAGCACUGCUGACAAUAAUAAUAUCAGCAGCAGCAGCAGCAGCAGCAGCAACAGCAACAGCAACAACAACUACAACAAUAAUCAUGGUAACAGCAAUGGCAGCGUUUGUUGCGAUGACGGUGGCACUAAUGCCGAUAUAGAUGCCGGCGUAGAAAUCGGCCCCGCCGAGUUUGCGAUGCCGAGCGGAUGCGGCGCGAGUAGGGGAGCAGGCUCCGACAGCGCCGCGGUCGCCGGUGAGGUUACGAUCGGAAUGCCGUCCUCCUCGGGCGCGGCGCGGAGCUGGAGGGACGGUUUCAGGAUGGGCGGCUCGCGAGGCAUGAAGCAGCGGCUGCUCGUGGUGGCCAAUAGGCUGCCGGUUUCUGCGGUGAGGCGCGGCGAGGACUCGUGGUCUCUGGAGAUCAGUGCAGGUGGAUUGGUCAGCGCCCUUCUUGGUACGUGCCUUUCUUUCUUUCCUUCUUUCUUUGGGAGAACUUUUUUUCCAGUUUCCUCUGCUUUUAAUUUAAUGUAAAAAAUGUGGUGUUGUUUGUUAAGUGACUGGCUCUCUAGGUGAUGUUCACGUAGAUUCGGGUUAGCGUCGUAUCCGGAUGCUUGCCUGGUGCCUUACUGUCGGAGAUCGGGCCACCGGUUGUCGUUGUUCGCUCUCGAAUUUGUUUUGAGAUCGGGAAAUUCUAGUGUAAGAGUGGUAUUCAUUGGAUUCUGAGAUGAGUCUGAUCGGAGAAAAGAAAAAGGUUGAAUUGCUGGAUUUAAUCGGCGUUUGGGGUAUCUUUGCAUGCUUGUAUAGUAGAAGGAUUUUAAACAAAUUAAAUUAGGUGAAGGUGCCUAUUUUUUAUGUUAUUGUCGUCACACGUAUCAUGGUCUUCUUGAGCUCCAAGUGCAUCAAUCUGCUUCGAGACCACGUUUCACGGUCUUCUUGAGCUCCAAGUGCAUCAAUCUGCUUCAGUCCCGCACCAUUAUUUUAGUAGCUGGUGAUGUAGAACGGUGCAUUUUGCGUGUCCCGGAAGCUUCGUAAGUGAUCUGGUUGAACCAUUCCACAUGAAAAGGACACAUGCUUCUAAUAAUUUAUCCACAUAACCAGAAUAUCUGAUGGACAAAAGUGGUUUAUGAUUUACAAAAUUUAAGAUAUUUUUUCUAUUGAAGCUAUAGAAUUCUUAGAUCUAUAUUUGUUAUUUUCACAUGCUGAGUAGAGGGACUCUCUGUACUGCCACCGAUCACUGCUGUCGACAAGUGCUUGUGAAGUUAAAAGCAGCAAAUGCAUAAGAUUGUUUUUAUUUUGAUUUGAUUAUUUGUUUUUUGUCACAGGUGUGAAAGAUGUAGAUGCUAAAUGGAUAGGAUGGGCCGGUGUAAAUGUACCAGAUGAAGUUGGGCAGAGAGCGCUGACAAGGGCACUAGCUGAGAAGGUAUGUCGAAAUUUCAGUGCUUUUCUCUUGUAUUAUUACCUCAUUUCCAUACUUAGUUCACGUAGCUCUAUAGAGUCCUAAAAUUUUCUUCCUCUGUGAAAACAGAGAUGCAUUCCAGUUUUUCUUGACGAGGAGAUUGUACACCAAUACUACAAUGGCUACUGCAACAAUAUCUUGUGGCCACUUUUUCACUAUCUCGGCCUCCCACAAGAAGACCGGCUUGCUACUACUCGAAGCUUUCAAUCUCAGUUCGAUGCAUAUAAGCGUGCGAACCAGAUGUUUGCUGACGUCGUGAGCCAGCACUAUCAAGAGGGUGAUGUCGUAUGGUGCCACGAUUAUCACCUCAUGUUUCUUCCCAAAUGCCUCAAGGAGUAUAACAGCAAGAUGAAAGUCGGCUGGUUUCUGCACACACCAUUCCCUUCAUCGGAAAUUCAUAGAACCCUUCCUUCUCGAUCGGAGUUACUUAGAUCUGUCCUUGCCGCUGAUUUAGUUGGGUGAGAACUCUAAUUUUCAUCUGUCAGGCCGCAUUGUGGAUAUAGCAUAUUACAUCUGAAUAUAAUGCAUAUAGAAAGUUUCAUUUGUCAAAGUAUUGUUGUGAAAUUCUCCUCAUACUAUGCAUGUUGCUGAUAUCUCUGGCUCUGAUGCCUUCCCCAAGAUUUGCCCACAAUUGUUCAGAACGUUUGCUGGUGAUAUGAUUUUCUCUAUUGGUUGAAUAAACUUCUACUUAACUAAUUUUAAAACAUUCUGCUUAGAUUCAAUCUGGGCAUCUACUUUGAAUGCUUUGUUUUUUUUUUUUUUUUUCUCUGAGGGAAAAAUAUAGUUUUAUCUCUUUCUAGUUGUCUUUCUAUCAGUUGCUUUACUAUGACUAGUAAUUUCAUGCAUCAGUUUCCAUACAUAUGAUUAUGCAAGGCACUUUGUUAGUGCCUGCACCAGAAUUCUUGGGCUUGAGGGCACACCAGAAGGGGUAGAAGAUCAAGGAAAACUGACGAGGGUGGCAGCGGUAUGACGUAUCUUGUCGUUCUUAUUAUUUUAUUGCAUCGUAUGGAUCGACACUUCUGUAUGUAUGCAUUGUAUCACGUUAGUUUCCAAAAUUGCGUAAUCUAUAUCAGUAAGUCUUCAAAAAAUGUAUCACAAUGGUUUUCAACAUUGGCCAUGCGAGCAUUUGUGUAAUUACCUAAUCUGUUCAUAUAUCAAAUCAUUCUCCUUUUUGGGUAAUCCUUUUCUGGUCUUUAUGUCGAUGGUUCUUACACACUUUGCCCUCCUAAACUUUCCAGUUUCCUAUUGGAAUAGACUCAGAGAGGUUUAAGCGAGCGCUUGAUCAUCCAACAGUUAAAGAGCGCAUCAAAGAACUGAAGCAGCGGUUUGAGGGCCGAAAGGUAAAAAGAAAAAAAUCAUCUUAAGCAAGCUCCUUGUUUUUGUGCUGUUCACUGUAGAUGUUAAAUUUCUUAGUUUCUCAUAGAUAUAUUUUUCAUUCUUAGAAGAGUAACCUGAGGCUUUGGCUCUGUUUUACCAUUUCAGCCUUUUACUCCUUACUCCAUCUGUUCUAACCAUAAAUAACCCCUCUCUUUCAAUUGCGGCUAACCCAAAUUACAUCUCUUUUCUUAAUCAUAAUUGAUAUUCUAUACUUGUUUACUAUCUUCCUUGGAUCCAGAUAUAUUUUUUUAGACAGCAUUCAUGCUAUUAUAAUCAUAACUGAUUUGGCAAUUUGUAUGAUAUAUACCUAGUAUUGCCAAACUUAUUUAAUUUCUAUUACUUGAUCUUGUUGCCAUUCGUCUUCAUGAAGUUGAAAGGAUACUUUCUUAUUACUAGUCAUAGACAGCUCUGAAUUAUAUAGAAAAUGUCAAAUAUCAUUUACGUUGUACUAUCUUGGUAUAUGACAACCAUGAGUACACCUUAUCAUAUACUUCUAUUUAUUAUUGUUAUGUUUCUCUUCUGAUAACAUCCACGAUCUGAGGGUGCUUUUUUUUUUUUUUUGCUUGUUGUUGAUUCUAAAACUUCUGGACUUCACUCAUUUGAUUUGUAUAAUCUCCGUGGCAAGAAGAUAAAGGAAAAUGAAUUCUUACCGUCUCCAGUCCUUUUAACUAAAUUGGUGGUAACAUUCAAACAAGCUGUACUGAUGAAUUGGUUUGUCAGCUAUGGAGUUUUUAGAUUGUGUAGAUCACUAACAACAACCUAGAGUUGGAUCCUCUGUUUAGGAGCAGGAUUAUUUAUAUUGUAAUGUGCACUGAGAGUUGUGAUUCCUGUCAAGAGAAUAUGAAAUUAAUAUGUAAGUAUGUGCACAUAUAAUCAUACUUGUGCUUAUAUCAUUAAGAUAUUGACUAAGAAUUGCAUACUUGGCGCUAAAAAGAUCUUCGUGCACUUUUUACGUGUUUGUUGAUUAUCAAGACCGUUGUUGUACUUGUAGGAGGAAGGAAAAGGAAGAGGCAAUUGACUUCCGUGUUUGUACAAUUGACAUAACUGUAUUCGUCACAGAUUUCGGCUAUGAUUAUGCUAACAUCAAUAACCUGGUAGGCAAGGCAUAUAUCAUUUCAACUAUGAUGAUAUCUGCUACUGUUAUGAUUGUUUAAAGCCUUACAGUACUCUUCUGUUCUGGUGAAUACAAUGAUAGAUUGUUUUGGGUGGAGAUUAUGCCUUUUAUAGCUUCUCUCUCUCUUAUGGGGAAUUUAUGAAGAAAAAUCCUUGGAGGGUCUAUCUUUCUUGAACAUUUCACAAUUAUAAUUCUAUUUGGAGAGUUUCUGGUCUUUUCUAGACGUCGCGACAUUAAUUAAUUUCUAGUUAAUUCACUUUACUUUGACAUACUUUGGGAGCAGGUGUUUUUUUUACUAGUGGUCCUUGCACUAUUUCUACAGAGUGCUGCUUACUAUUUUUCUUGCAUUCUUGUUAAUUUCUUUUUCUGAAUGGUAGGUAAUGCUGGGUGUCGAUCGUCUUGAUAUGAUUAAAGGGAUACCACAAAAAAUUUUGGCCUUUGAGAAGUUCCUCGAGGAAAACCCAUUGUGGCGUGAUAAAGUAGUCUUGCUUCAGAUUGCCGUGCCAACAAGAACUGAUGUACCUGAAUGUAUGCUUCCUUGUUCUAUUGUUAUGCUAAGUAGUCUUCCUUAGUUAAGGUUGUCUAACUAGCUGUUUUUUUCUUUUGAGUACAAAAUAUGUCUAUCACUGUGACAGUAUUAACUAAACUUUUCCUGUUGUUUACUUUAUCAAAAAAAGCAGAAUGUCAAAGAAAUCUUCAUUUUAUUCUUAUUUUCCUCCUUUUUGGUGAACAGAUCAAAAGCUUACCAGUCAGGUGCAUGAGAUUGUUGGACGUAUUAAUGGCCGGUUUGGAACAUUAACAGCAGUUCCCAUACAUCAUCUGGUAUGUCUUGAUGGCAAUCUCCAUAUUUUUGCUACUGUUGGCCUCAAUAUAGCUUGACUUUAGUACUGCUUGUUUGUUGUGUCUUUGACUAGAUCUUUCUCUUUUCCUGCGCGUGGAACAUUCUUUGUAUUUCAUGGUCUGCUCUUGAGUUUUUGUAUUUAUAGUAGAUGUAAAUUUUCUCAAAGUAUGUUAAAUGUGUCACAGGAUCGAUCACUGGAUUUUUAUGGUUUAUGUGCUCUCUAUGCUGUAACCGGUGAUUUGCUUUUCUCCAAACUUCUGCUUCUUUCUUCUUCUUCACUAUGAUACAUUUUGGUAGAACAUAAUUUUAAUACUCUUUUCUUAUGUAGAUGUGGCUCUUGUAACAUCGCUGAGAGAUGGGAUGAAUCUUGUCAGCUAUGAGUUUGUGGCUUGCCAAGGUGAAAAGAAAGGGGUUCUUAUUUUAAGUGAGGUAAUUACAUCAGACCAUUGUUUAUUUGCUCUGUUUCUUUCAUAUACUUGUGUACUUAUUUUAUUCCCUGCGAAACCUAGUCAAAGGUUUUCAAGCUAUGCGAGUGUCAUUAGGUAUAACAAUCGACUCGACAUUUGUGUUGAAAAAGCCAUUCGAGGCUUGCCCUCUGUGCCCUAUGGGCGUUGGCGGGAGACUUGUUCAUCGGAAUACCCUUUUAUAUCUUUUAAUAGUAGCCGAAGAGGGCUAUCCAACCUUAAAUUAUUCUAUUCCACGGCAAACUUCGUAAGAUUUGAUUCGAUCUUAUUGUUGCUUUUAUUUCUAGUUUGCUGGAGCUGCACAAUCUCUUGGAGCUGGUGCCCUCCUAGUAAACCCUUGGAAUAUAACCGAAGUUGCUGCCUCUAUCUGCUAUGCUUUGGAAAUGUCUUCUGAUGAGAGAGAAAAACGGCAUAGACAUAACUAUGCUCAUGUGACUACGCACACCGCCCAAGAUUGGGCUGAAACUUUUGUAAGGUAAGAAAUCUCAUUCCAUAACUUUUGUAAGGUAAGAAAUCUAUUUGCUGUUUGAUCUGAUGGUGGUCGUCGGUUCAUUAAACUUCUAGGGCUUUGUUAAUUCUUAUCACAACGAGUAAGAUCAAACUUAAAAUUACUCUUGCCAUAUUCUCCUUUUGUGUAGCGAACUAAAUGACACUGUCGUCGAAGCUCAGCUUAGGACAAGACAAGUUCCGCCUUUGCUUCACACUGACACGGCAAUAGAACGAUAUCUGCGGUCCAAGAACCGACUGCUCAUAUUGGUAAUUGUCCACACCAUGUUGUAACUCUUUGUAUUCUGGUAGAAGACAACUGCAAAUUAUAAUAUCUUUGUUUGUUUGAUACUUUUUUAUUUUACCAUCCUGUAGGGUUUCAAUGCAACAUUGACUGAACCGGUUGAAUCAUCUGGAAUAAGAGGUGGUGACCAAAUUAAGGAGAUGGAGCUCAAACUGCAUCCCGAAUUGAAAGGACCUUUGGCGACUCUUUGUGAUGAUCCACAGACAACUGUUGUUGUACUUAGUGGAAGUGACAGAAGUGUCCUGGAUGAUGUACUGUUCCUUCAAACUGUUCUCUGUUUUCCUUUCUGAAGUGAUACCACUAAUUGCAUUAAUUUUCUACUUCUGCAGAAUUUUGGAGAAUUCAAUAUGUGGUUGGCUGCAGAAAAUGGGAUGUUUUUACGCCUGACUAGCGGAGAAUGGAUGACAACAAUGCCAGAGCAUCUAAACAUGGACUGGGUUGACAGUGUAAAGGUACUUAAAAUGGUUGAUUUUUGAAUCUAAUACCUUAUUUUGAUGUACUAACUUUGUGAUUUCAACUGAACUUUUCCAGCAUGUUUUUGAGUAUUUUACUGAGAGAACACCCAGGUCCCAUUUUGAACACCGUGAAACCUCACUUGUAUGGAACUACAAGUACGCAGGUAAGGUUUUUUGUUCACGUAUCUUUUUUAUUGCCUUUAGUUAACGCCUUUGCCUGCCACCAUCUUUUACGAAUUUUUUUUUCCACUGCAGACGUUGAAUUUGGUAGACUUCAAGCAAGAGAUAUGCUACAGCACUUAUGGACAGGUCCAAUAUCCAAUGCAGCCGUUGAUGUCGUCCAAGGUAGCCGGUCAGUCGAGGUUCGAUCUGUGGGGGUUACCAAGGUUUGUGAUAUGUUUUCCAUUUUUUCUUUUUUUUUUUUUGCAGAAGAUGAAUAAAUGCGUCAGAUCUUUGUAGCGGACAAGGCUGCAAAUGCAAUUUAUUAAGGUCUUUUAAUUUAUACUGUUUGUUUAUCUCCGCAGGGUGCUGCAAUUGAUCGUAUUUUGGGAGAAAUUGUCCAUAGUAAAAGCAUGAUCACCCCAAUUGACUAUGUUUUAUGUGUUGGUCACUUCCUGGCAAAGGUAAUAAGUUUGUGUUCUUAUUUGCUUGCUAUUUUUGAGAUUAGUAGCAAGUAACAUGAAACAGAUGGACCAACUCUUGCAUGUCGCAAUCAUGGUAACGGUUCCCAGAUUGUUUUCCUGGCAAAGGUGAUGAUUCUAUGUCCUUCAUCUAAUAGCGGUAUUGAUGGUUUCAGGAUGAAGAUAUCUACACCUUCUUCGAGCCGGAGCUCCCAUCUGAGCCGUUAAAUGCUGCAAAAGCAAAAGCAUCCGACGGUUGCAGGCCGACUCUCGACCGCAGGACCUCAGGGAGAUCAUCAAACAGUCGGAACAACUCGAGAAAUUCGCAGUCGCGAACUCAGAGGUCGCAGUCCGGGUCGGAAAGGCGGAACUCGUUCAAUCAUAACUCUCAGCGAUCUCCUCAGGAAACCGUGUCGUGGCGCGAGGGUUCUUCCGUGCUGGAUCUCAAGGGCGAGAAUUAUUUCUCCUGCGCUGUGGGGAGGAAACGUUCCAAUGCGAGGCACCUGCUCAACUCGUCGGACGAAGUUGUUUGCUUUCUCAAGAAACUGGCAGAGGUGGCGGGCCAUUGCUACGGUGCCGGUAAUCAGCCUGGUUAGAGUUCUGUUUCUGGUGAAAGGUGGGUUAGAUUUAUUCCGCUCGAAUUCCUGCUCGGCGUUGUAAAAAUGUGUAUAAUUCUACCCCGUGAAAAUGCUAUCCCCCGUGUGAGCACUCAGUGGUAGCUAAAGAAGUAUUAUUUGGGACAGUAUAUAUUUCGGUUUGCGAUUCGAUCUUUGCUGUUUCUUGUUCUAUUUAAAUUUGUUCUAUUUAUUGAAAUUUGUUUUGUUCUGUGUGUUCUUCUGUUGAGACGCUUUGCAUGUGUCAAUGUUUAUCAGUCUAUGCGCCGCUUCCUGGGGAGUGCUGGUGCAUUUGGAUUUUGUUCAUGUGGGCCUGAAUUGUAGCUGAUCUAUGCAAAGCCCUCAACCCAAAGCACAACCGCAUGUCUGCCAUUAAUUAACUACAAAUACGUAAGACUAAAAAAAAAUAAUAAUACCAAAUUUAAAUUGUUCAUAAAAAUUCAAAAUCUAUAAUUCUGUAACACUCAUGUCGGAUGAAAAAAGGAUUUUGAUUGAAAAUGUAUAAGGUCUAAUUAAUUAAAAACAAAUAAUGUCAAAUUUAAAUUAUUCACAAAAAAUCAGAAUUCAUAACUCUGUAGCACGCAUUCUAGCAAUAAUACAUUGUUGGACCCUUAACCACCGAUACAAAAUUUUUAAGCUCAGUUGUUAUUAUUAUUGUUAUUAUUAUGUCCUAUCUUGAGUUUGGUUUGAUAUAAUUGGUGUUAGAUUUCUAUAAAGGGCGUGUUAUAAAAGGUGAUAAGUUUGGUUGAUGUAACUGGUGUUAAAUUUUUUAUAAAGAGUGGAAACAUCACUUUAUUAAGUCAAGGAUAACGAUUAUUUUUUGUGUAAGUAGUAAUAGGCUUGAUGGUUGGUAUUCGAGAUUUCAAAUUCUAAAAUUAAUUAUUUUAUAUUUUUAGCUAAGUUUAAAAAAAGAAAUUAAGUCAAAUUAUCCACAUGCAAUCGGUGAUCUCAAAUUCGAACAUUUUUAUUUUCCUCGGAAUGUCCCCAAGAGUCGUCUCUUGUGUAAGGAUCCAAACAAUCAAUGUCAAAUUAAUGUCAAAUUAUUUAAAUCAAAUUUAAAUUAUUUCCAAUGGAAGUGUUGCUUCGGGCUUCGGGCAUAGCACACUCUUUUAUUGAAAAUUCCUCUUAUAAUUUGCUUUUGCAGAAACUGAAACUUCAAAUUGAUGUACCAGACUGUUAAAACUAUUAACGUUGAGUAACUUAGAUUUUCAACGUAGAAGAGUUUUAAAUUUUAUGAUCUUAUUUUUAGGGAUUUCACGUUUUUCGUCAAUUGAAAAAUUGAGCGCUUUCAUAGAAAAAGGACUACAUCUUUCAUACCAAAUUUUCUGGGCACGAGCAAUCCUGCUGCUACUGCUGAUGAGUGGUGAGAGCAAUCCCAUAGACGCAAACCAACCUUGGUUUUGCAUCAAUCUAUGACGACCUAAUCCGCUAGUGCCCAAACCACCGGCCCAGAAUAUUUAAGUCCAAUUAUUAUACAGACUAUCUAAAUUCAGAUCACAGAUGACUCCCACCAAAUCCAUAGUGUAGUACUUUGUCCCGUAUAGCAUUUAGCUCUAACACUUCUAGCAGGUAUUCAGCUCUAACACCAAUUGUAACGACCUGACCGCUAGCGAUAAUAACUUGUUGAAUCCAAAUCCCUAGCGCAAAAUACUUAAGUCUAGUUAGUAUUAUUAGUGUGUGAGGUCUCAUGUAUUCUAAGUGAAAUUAUUUUUCUAUCAGAUAUGAGACUAUUGGGGUGUUACAGAUUGAAGCUUUAAAAGCGUGCACAAUGCAGGACAAAAAGCCAAAGCAAAUCAAGAUAGCAACAACAGGAGUUGAAUGUGGGAUGCUUUAAGAGACGUGCGAAGAGGUGAGCUUGGUGGUGCUGCAAAUGUUUCCUUGCCUCGAAGGGCACUGCCAAAUUGGAUGAUGGUCCAUAUAUAUAUAUGCACACAAUCAAGCACUCAACUCCAAAAAAAAAAAAGAAAAAAAAGAAAGAAAAAAAAGAAAACAAGAAAGAGAGAUCGGUGAAAACGGUAGUAUAACGAGUUCAUCAUCAUGAACUUUAUAUAUAUAUAUAUAUAAUUAACCUAACUGACCCAUAUCAUCUAUUUUAUGAGCGCGUCGAAUGUUGUGAGUAUAGCAGUAUAAAUGACCUCACAAUCAUAACAACCAAGAGAUUCGAGUGAAAGGUUUGUUGUCACAUUUAUACUAAUUAAUUAUAGUAAUAUUCCAUGCUUUACAGUAUUUCGAGUCAUAUAUGAUUAGCUUUAUUCGUGCGCAAAGUUUUAAUACUAUUGACCUAGUUAGAUUUUAUAUGUAGGCAUGUAGCAAUGAAAAGUGAGAUGUGUCAUGCAUAAGAUGGUCUUCAACCAUAUUAGUUAUUUAGGGCUACAUGGCCAAACGUCCGUUUGGUAUCGAUGACGAUAUAACAUUCUAUUAGACAGAAAAUAUCGAAGGUAAAAAUAUAUUAUAUCGUAACAAGAUCACUGUAAUUUACACAAUUUGGUAACAUAAUUUCACGAAAACAGAUGGAAUAUUUUAUCAUUGUACUUUCACACAUGCGUAAAGCAUGAUUCCCACAAUUUCAAACUGAUCUUUAUUCACGGUGAAUUUAUAAAUGAGCUCUUGCUAGUUGAUUCAGAACAACUUUGUCUUCUUCUUCUUCUUUUGUACAUGAAUAAGAAGUUGUUGCUGUAGACGUGAAUUUCUUUUCACAAUCAAAUUGGAUAUAAAUUUGACAUAUAAGCGUAGUGGGAGUCACCAUCAGGUCUAAAAUGAAACAUUGUGCGUAACUUCAGCGUGCGCCUCUUUGGUCCUAUGUGUAUGUUCACCUCCUAGUAGUAUGGAUUUAUGAGAAGGACCAAUUAAUUUCCUAUGUUUUUUUUUAAUUUUAUUCUAGUUUUAUUUUAAUUUAUUUUAUUUGAAAUGAGGUUAUACCACAUUCAGAGGGCAUAGUAAGAUUCCCUAGAAGUUAUUGCAGCAUUUCUUUACCAAUUUUAGAACGGAAUAUUACCCCAUUUUAAGGGAAUGGUUGCUAAGUAAAUAUAGAGAAAGAGAGUUCCAUGAAUCUCACGAAUUAAUUCUUUCAUUUAGUGACAUACUGAAUAUGUAUUUGAUCAAUCUGCUGUUCAACUUUUACAUAAAAAGAAUCCAUUGGAAAAUUUGCUUGAUUAUCAACUGUCUCUAACGCGAGCGACAAAAGGUAUAUCUGAGGUUCCGAAUUCGAAACCUAAUUACUUCACAUUUUCAGAUAAAUUCAUUCCUAAAAAAAGAAAUGGAGAAAACAAAUAGCAUUGUACCUUUCUCUCCCCAAAAAAGUAAAAUGUUUGGUUUGAACUCAUUGCCAAAGAAAAGAGACUUCUAAUAUUAGAUGUAUUAUAGAAUUCUAAUUUUUAGUCAGUAUGAAAUUAAUAUUCUUAAUAAUAAGAUAUACUAUAAAAAAAAAUAAAAUAUAAUAAAUGAAUCAGUAUUAAUUGUAUGCAUGAUAGAAACUAGAUAAUUCAAUGUUCUUAAAGUGCAUAUUCAUAUGGAAUAUCAUUUACUACAAGGUGAACAAUAUUAGUGACUUAUCAACUGUACAAUUUUAUAAAAAUAGCAAUCCUAGCUAACUUAUUACUCUAAUUACAUCCUAAAAAAAAAAAAUCUUCAAGCAUGAACAAAAAAAGAUUCUCUUCCUCAUUUGAUGGAAAAAGAAAACUAUGUACAAAGGCAAUCUCAUCAAACUGUGCACACCUUUCAACUUCUACUGUACUUUUCGGUCCCCACUAGCUAUGUAUAUAUAUGUGUGUGUGUGUGUGUGUGUGUGUGUGUGUGUGUGUAUGUAUGUAUAUAUAAUAGUAGCAUAGCAAAGAGGAGCAAAGAGGAGUAACAAGCACACAAUAGAAGAUGAGAAAAGCAUCACCAUUAACACCCACUCUUCUUCUUUUCUUUCUCCUCCGACUCAUCCCAAGUUCUCUCUCUCACAACAAACAAGGACAGGUUUGUUAAUUACAUACCCUUUUAAUUGUUACUUUAAACUAUUCAUUCAUUUUCUAAGUUAUCUUAUUAAUUGUUUAAAAGAGAACAAAAAGUUAUUCAUUAGGAGUUAAGUUUUUGAUCGAGCAGGUUUAUAUAGUAUACUUGGGAGAACACAGUGGAGCCAAAAACACUGAAGAAAUCCUGGAGGACCACCAUUCACUUCUCUUCUCUGUCAAAAACAGGUGCAUAUUAAUUAAUUGUAUCAUCUAUAAUUAAUAUUUUUUAUGAUUUUUUUAGUUCCUAGCUAAAUUAAUUAAGUUCUUAAUGGAUCUGUUUAUUAUUUAGUGAGGAGGAAGCACGGCAAUCUCUUUUAUAUAGCUACAAGAACAGCAUCAAUGGAUUCGCCGCAGUGCUCUCUGAUGAAGAAGCUGCGGCGCUAUCGGGUACAGUUCAGAUUAAGUAAACUCUCACCACUAAAAAUUCAUACUUUUUAAAUAACAAAUAUUAUUGUAAUUGAUAACUAUUAGUUGCAAUAAUAUUUUUUUUACAAAAAUCAUAGCUACAAAUCUGGUGGUAAUAAAUGAACAAAUAUAUAAUAUAAUUUCUAUUACUACAGCAAGUAGGAGUAUGGUAAUUAUGGUUCGAACUUGAAGACUUGUGUUUGGACAUCGCGUGAAACAACCGUUUUUACUCUAAAAGCUUUAAUUACAAUAAAGAAUGUUUUAAUCAUUUAUAUACAACUCAUUGGAAUUAUAGCCUACUGGUGGGUUAUUUGGGAGACUAGAAACGGAGCGAUUUUUCAGAUGGUUCAGAAGGACUCACUACGUGGAAUUCACAAGAUCAAAUAGCUGAUGACUCAGUGGGGGAAUCUCUAACCAGUAGAGAGACCUUGCUUACAGUAGAUUAAAUAGAACAAGGGUUUUUUUUUUUUAACCCUGUCUUGGUUUUCCGCCACCCUUGAGGUCUUGCUGUCUCAUCCAUGUAGCUUAAUUCACCUUCUGAAUGAAUAAACCGAGUAGCGUGCUACCUUUCUCCUAAAAAGAAAACAAAUAUAUCAUUUACAUUUGUGUUUUUUGGGCAAUUUUUUAUUAUUAUUAUUAUUAUUUUUUUGAUGGAAUAGCUAUGGGGGAAGUGGUGUCUACAUUUCCAAGCAAAGGGAGGUGGUCACCACACACUACAAGGUCAUGGGAGUUCAUCGGGCACGAAGAAGGAUUGAAAGGUCAAGAGAUUGAUUCGCUACGAUCCAAAGCAAAGGAUGGGAAAGAUGUUAUCAUUGGCAUGUUGGAUUCUGGUUAGAGUACUCCCAUUGCCAAUAUCUUUUUCACAUGUUGCAAUCUCAGUUAAUUAUCUUGUUUUCUACUACUGAUGUUCUAUUAAUUUUUGGGUUAAUUAAUUGCAUUAUUUGUAGCUCCCAACCUUCUAUAAAAAUUUCAAUUUCCAGCAGCUUCUUUCAAAACAAGUCGUAAUGGCUGCUAAACUUUUUUUUUUUCUUUUUUUUCUCUUUUUUUUUUUCCUUUGAGAAAAUGAUGGCGAACUGUCUGUUUCGUUUACUAAGCGUUAUGAACUUAGCAAUAAGGAUGAGACAGCCUGGGCGGCUAAACUUUUAUAAUUAUAAUAGAUUGAUUGAUUUGUUAUUUAACAUUAAUUUUUUAAAAGAAGGGUCAUUUUAAUAGAAAAUAUAUUUUGAGAUGAGAAAAAAUUUUCUGACAUCAACUUUCUUACCAAAAAAAUGUUUAAUUACUUUAUACAUCACUAUUUCUAUCAAUAAACUAAACAUCAAAUAAUGGGACAGAUAAAUUAAUUUGACACAUUAGCAAGAGUUUAGAAAACAUGAAUUAGUUCACUUUUAAAGAAUAGAGGCUAAAGUAAAACUUUGAUAACUUUUUUUUUUCCCCCUGAACAUGUAGUGUUAGGCUUAGUUCCCAACAGUUUAUUGAACAAAGAAUUAAGGUAAAAGAGUCCAGGUACAAAAAUGUAGUGAAAUCAACUCUUUUUAUUAUGUUUUAAGCAAAAUAAUAUAGUUGUCUAUUAUAUUAAAUUCGUUAAUUUUGUUUGGUUAAUUUUGUUUGCUUUCAUAGGUAUUUGGCCCGAGUCCAAAAGCUUUAGUGAUGAAGGAAUGGGACCAAUUCCUAAACAAUGGAAAGGGAUUUGUCAAGAAGGAGACUCAUUUAACUCUUCAAAUUGCAACAAGUUAGUAAAUAUAACCCCAUUUCUUUAAUUUUCUCUCUCACUAUAUAUUCUAUGCUUUUUAUUUGAAAAGUCCCUUACUAUAUAUUCUAUCUCAUUAUCAUGAAAAGUAUGAUUGUUUGUGGUCUCAAUUUUUAGCUCUGGGAUGCUUUAGUCAGGAGGUUGGUUUCAUAUAUAGAUUCAUUAUGCUGUUAUUGGUCACUCAAAAAAUCGAUCUGAUAGAAAAUAAUUGAGAAAUCACAUAAUAUGAUGGAUUUGCAUUUAAGCCACGCAAAAUAAUGGUCAAACGCAAUAAACAAAAUCAACCAGAGGUCAGCUAGUUACUAACCGGCAUAUAUAAGAAUAUAUAGCUUUUUGGAACGAACUUAUUCUAGAUUGGAAAAACUUCAAAAAACCCUCCUGUGGUUUCGUAGUUUCUCACUUUGCCCCCCUGUGGUUUAAAAUAUAUCAAUUUGUUCCCCUGCGGUUUCCUUUUUCUCUUUUUCUUAUCAAUUUCAUUAUAUUUUUUUUUAAAAUCAGUGAUAAAGUUAAUUUAAAGGGUACUAAAGUGAAUAUUUGAUAAAUCUAGAUGGGUAUCUGAAAUUUUUUUUAUAUAAUUUAAUGAAAUAUUAACGAAAAAGCUACCGAAAAGAUAAAAACGAAACCACAGAGGGGCAAUUUGAUAUAUUUUAAACCACAGAGGGGCAAAGUGAGAAACUACGAAACCACAGGUGGGUUUUUUGAAGUUUUUCCUUCCAAAUUUAAGCCUGCGUGUAUGAUUAGAAAUAAAAAAAUUUAAUGAUAUAUACUAGUAUCUUACUUUUAUACAUAUCUUUGACAUCCGAAAAUAUUUUUUUUUUCGUUUUUUUUUUUUUUGAGAAAUAGGUAGCAAGCUAAAUAUACUUUUUUUUAUUAUAUAUUGUUGGAAUUCUUGUAGAGGAUGCAUAUGCAAAACCAUUUCUAAUUGAUAACUACUAAAAUAUCUUCUUCUUGAUAUAGUCCCAAGAACAUUCAAGAGCAAUACAAUGACUUGAUGUACAUGAGACCUUGUUUCUUGGCCCUCAUUUAAGAGAGGCUCAUGUACUCGAAGCCCCACAUCUCACUGUUNUUUUUUUUUUUUUUUUUUGUCCCUGUCCUCUGAAUUUUGCAGCCUCCAAAAUAUUCUUUCUUGCACCAAUCGUAUUUGCGCAUUCAUGCACCAUACAUCUAUCUAAUCUCUAUCUCGCAAUCUCAUCUAACGUAUUAGCGUCAGCAACCGUAAAUACAGUAGUAUCAUAGCAGGUUACUGAUUCGGCUCUCUGCGUGUCUAUACACUUAGAGAAGUAAAGUGACAUACAGCUCCUUAAUUUUCUAUCGAUCUAGAGUGCAAGUAUGAAAUGCGAUGAACGACAGAUGCGCCGGGUGCGGGCAACAACUUAACAAUGUUGCUGGGACUGUCCUGCAACUUGGCACGUCCAAACAAAGUCGACUGACUCAGCUCGACCUGUUGUGAUGUCUGGCUCGGCUUCUUCACCCGGUGGGUGACAAAAACCCAUGCACGGGAUCUCGUGACCUCCUCCUCACAUUACUGCUACCCAUGCUGCAAACGUAAUUUGUCUGCUUCUCAAAGAGCUAGGCUUUGUUCUUCAAAAUAAAUAAAUAUUAUCUCAAAUUAACCCUAUUGUAUAUAUAUUUUGACAUGCCCCACUUUUUAUUUUUUUGAGAGAGAAAAAUAGCACCCUACCUAUUUCAUUCAUUCAGCAAAUAAAAUUAACUAUAUAGACGUGUCCCACUCUUGAAACAUAUAUAUUAUAUAAAUGAGUAUAAAACAAUAUACAUUGAAUUCUAGCUGGCUUUUAAAUUCUAACUCAGUUGGACUCGGGAACCAAACCUAACCCAUAUGAACGGUUUUCGGAUUUUGUGCAACAUAAAUGCGGACUCGAACUUGAAAUCGAACUCGAACUCGAACUCAAAUCUUGCUGGGCCCUAGCCCGGAAAUGUUAUGUAGGCCCGGAUGUGGCCUGGACUUCUACAGGUUGCUAAAGUUGAGUCCGGGGCAGGCCUUGGACCUAUUGUUGAAUCUCACGUCAACAAUCUGAAUCUGGUCCCAAACCUGGCCCUGAUCAAUCUUAUUGACACCCUAUAACCGCUUCAUCUUUUUCUUUUCUUUUUUUUUUUUACGAAAUAAACUCACUUAGAAAUAUCAGAUAAUUAUACUUUAAAUUUGAGAUCUCGAGUGUCAAUCAUUAAAUUCUUGACCAGAUGGGCUGUGUAUGGUUGGUUUUAGAAAGAUUUUUUUGUGAAUAGUUAUGAAAGUUUCAGACAGUAAAAAAUAUAUAAAUCGAUCGUAUUUAGCUAGCACAGUUGACUAAUAAUAUAAUAUUUGAUGUCCGACCUCCUAAGUUAGAAAUCUGGUUGCUUCACAUGCUUAAUUAGGCGUAUUUCUAGAAAAAUGGACAAACUGUUCCAUCUUAAAAUUAAAAAUAAAUACAAAAAAAUUUAUUUGCUAUUAAUAAAAAAAAAAUUAUAUUUAUAAUAUAUAAAAAAGCUCUUAAAAGAGAGAAGGGCUCAAGAUUUGGUUUUACUACUGUGCUAUCCAAAUGGUCAACUUGAUAGGAAAUGAGUUUGAAAAAAUAUACAUUUGACAUUGAGGUUGGUGCCGAGCGUUUAUUUUAUAAACGUUUAUUUUAUAUUUUCUAUCUAGUAUCACGGCAGAAGGUUCUAAUUUCGAAUCACGUAUGGUGCUUCAUGUGACACGAGGAACAACUAACAGCUAACAAUGAAACAGGAAGCUGAUCGGAGCGCGAUACUACCUGAAGGCAUACGAGGCCUACUACGGCGCGCUGAACACCACGUACGCCUACCGCUCGCCCCGCGACCACGACGGCCACGGCACUCACACCGCCUCCACCGCCGCCGGCCGCCCCGUCCCAGGCGCUGCAGCCCUCGGUGGCUUUGCAGGCGGCACCCCCGCGUCCGGCGGCGCCCCCCUCGCCCGCCUCGCCGCCUACAAGGUCUGCUGGCCCAUCCCCGGGCCCAACCCCAACAUCGAGAACACCUGCUUCGAGGCCGACAUGCUCGCCGCCAUCGACGACGCCGUCGGAGACGGCGUCGGUGUGCUCAGCAUCUCCAUCGGGUCCGUCGGCGCCAAGCCCCGCCUUGACAAGGACGGCAUAGCCAUCGGAGCGCUGCAUGCGGCGCGCCGCGGCGUCGUCGUCGCCUGCAGCGCCGGGAACAACGGGCCCGCGCCGGCCACCGCUUCCAACCUCGCCCCGUGGGUGAUCACCGUCGGCGCCAGCAGCAUCGACCGGGCCUUCCGUUCGCCGAUCACGCUCGGCAGUGGGAUGACGAUCACGGUAACUAACCUCUCCGUGCACGUUACGAAAAACAAUGCGACGUUAUACUAUAUCAUUUAUAAGAGUAGAUGAGAAUAGUAUAUAUGAUGUAAAAUAACUCGUAAAAAUUAUUUGAUUAUAAUAUAAUUUCAAUCAUGCACUUUCUACUUAUAUCUCUAUCUAUUAUAAAGAAUCGGUAUAACAAUUAUUAAUUUUUUUAUUUUUAUAAAUAAUAAAUACAAUAAUGCAGUCAGGUUACGGCAUAUGGUCACCAAAACACUAAUAAUUUAGUCGCAAUUCAUAAAAUUUAGGGUGGCUUUUAUCACGAUGAUAGUAUUUCUCAAAUUUUUAUGUAGAAUUGGAGAUAAUAUCAAUGCUUCCACUAUAACAUCUCUCUCUCCUUUUCUUUUCUUUUCUUUUUUUUUUGUUUCUACUGAACAUUGAUCAGGGUCAAACAGUUACACCGUACCAGUUGAAGAAAAAGAAACUCUAUCCUUUAAUCUAUGCUGGGGAUGCUGUGGUUCCUGGGACUCCCACCAAUGUUUCAGGGUAUAGAUUAUCUUUCAACUUAAUCCAUAAUAAAAGUUUAAUACUUUAGAUAGAGAUUACAGGAAGGGUUUAAUUGAAAUGCCAAAGAGGUGGUAGGAAUCAAACUCUGCAUGCUAAAUUUUGUAAUUUAAUCCUUGCAAAAACACUAUAUAUUCAAUCAUGUAACAUUCUUUUCAGACAAAAAAAAAAUUGUAGCUAGCACUGCAACAUGUUUAGCUACUAGUAUAUAUAUAUAUGGUGUGUUUCUAAAUCUGAGAAGCUAUUUGCAGGCAGUGUCUACCCAAUUCUCUGUCCCCCGAAAAGGCGAGGGGCAAGAUAGUCGUGUGCCUGCGAGGAAGCGGUCUGCGGGUGGCCAAGGCACUGGAGGUGAAAAGGGCCGGCGGGUCGGCCAUUAUACUAGGCAAUCCUUUGGCUUACGCGAAUGAGGUCCCCGUCGACGCCCUCCUACUACCCGGAACGGCCGUGUCAGCGAACGGUACCAUCGCCAUUCUCAACUACAUCAACUCAAGCCGGAGACCGACCGCCACCAUCGGUCGGGCUCAUACUGUUUUAGAUGUUAGGCCUUCGCCGGUCAUGGCCCAGUUCUCCUCUCGCGGGCCCAACGUUCUCGAGCCCAAUCUUCUCAAGGUAACUAUGAUCACUUCGCGGCAAAAUAUUCUCAUUGAAACUUUUUGAAAUUUUGAUACUUAGACACUUGUUGGUAAUGUCGUAGCCCGACAUUACGGCACCGGGGUUGAAUAUAUUGGCAGCUUGGAGCGAAGCAUCCUCGCCUACGAAGCUCGAUGACGAUCACCGGAGAGUAAAAUUUAACAUUUUGUCGGGGACAUCGAUGUCGUGCCCUCAUGUAUCUGCUACUGCAGCUCUUCUCAAAUCCUUGUACCCUCAUUGGAGCUCCGCCGCUAUUAGAUCUGCUAUGAUGACCACUGGUAGUGUACUUUCUCCGGAAGAAUAAGUCUAGUACUUGUGCCGAAUUUGGCACAACGAAUCGAUGUUCCGAAUCACAGUGGUUGUCGGAUUGCGGAGCAAUACUAUAGGAUAUAGUGCAGGCCCUUGAUCCAACAAUCACUGCAAUUCAGUGUACAGAAUUUUACAUGAAUCUCACUAUAUUUCCCCGAAAUUAUCUAGCUACAUAUAUAUGUACCUUAAAAAUUUAUAGUUUCAUAAUGCAAUUUCGGGCUUUCACCAAAAUCCUUUGCAGCUACCGUAAAUGAUGCCAACGGAGGCCCAAUAAUUAACGCGGCCGGACAAGUGGCCGGGCCCAUGGAGUAUGGAUCGGGCCACAUUCGGCCCAAUCAUGCGGCGGACUCGGGCCUCAUUUACGAUGCUUCGUACGAAGACUACCUCCUCUUCGGAUGCGCAACCGCAGGCCUCCAAUUUGACCCGUCGUUCGAGUGCCCAAAAUGCCCGCCAUCCCCGUCCAAUCUCAACCAUCCGUCCGUCACCGUCGCCAACCUCAGCGGGACCAUCACCGUCCGUAGGACGGUCACCAACGUGGGCCAAAGCAAGGCCCAAUACCGUGUGACCGUCCUCGAACCCGUCAGUGUUUCAGUUAAAAUUAGGCCCAAAACUUUGGGCUUUAAAGCGGCGGGCCAAAGGAAGAGCUUUUUUAUCACAUUUAAAGCCCAUGGUAAGGGUAAUGGGGAAUACGUGGCAGGGUCGUACACGUGGAGCGAUGGGGUCCACUUUGUCAGGAGCCCUGUUGUAGUUUCUCUUGCCUGAUUUUUUUUUUUUUUUUUUUUUUUGCUAGUAUUUUAUUUGCUUUUAUUUUCUUUAGCCCACUGAACCUAAAUAAAAUGUAGAGCCGGUGCAGGAGUGUCAAAUUUAUGAAAACAAUGUAACUGGAAAUCGGGUUAUUUUUAAGAUAAUGGAGAUGAACAACAAUUCUAAUUUCCAAAAAUGCAUGAUAUUCACAGGAAAUACUAAUGAAAUUCUGUCAUGGCUCCUCAUGGUUUCAGAAAAAUUCCAAAACCGUAGCAAACGUUACUAUCUAUGGUGAAGUAUUUAGCAUCUACUAUUUUGUCAAAGCUUGAAAAGUUCUCUACCGCUCGUAAUCCAAUCAUUGUAACACAUCAAAAAUGAAAGAAAAAUAUCUUAGGCGCGUUGGAUUCUAUUUUACUGAUUUUCAACAAGGUAGACGUGACUUGCGCGUGAGCGAGUGUGUGUGUGUGUGUGAGAGAGAGAGACAGAGAGAGACAAAGAUGUCAAUUAUUGAUGGUUUCAUCAUUUGGCUCUGCUUUUGAGACAUCAAAGGGCGUGCUUUAGUUCAGUGCUAAACAGCUUUUAGUCGUCUUCACACGUAAGUUAUGGAUAUAUAGUUUAGUCUUUUUCUUUAUAAAAAAAUCAUUAGUUUUAAAAUUUUGUAAAAAAUUGGUCAUCAUUUUAGAUUUUACAUAUUCAAAUUGAAUUUUUAGAAAAUUGAUCAAAAAAUUUUUAUUUCCUUUUAUUUCUUUUAUUUCUUAUUUUAUUUUUCUCUCCGGCUCUCAUCCCUCCACCAACUUCGUGGUGCUCGGUGACGGCAAUGAGGGCGGCGCCACCUCCUCUUCUUUUUCUUCGGCCUACGCCUCCAACGCCAUCGAUAUCGAUGCCGGCGCUCGGUGACAAUAAUAAGGGCGGCGCCGGCUCUUUUUCCUCUUCUUCCGCCUAGCUGGCCUCCAUCGCCACCGAUAUCAACACCCACGCUGAAGGAGGAGAAUUCGGAGCAAGCGCGGGUGAGGAGAAAGCUGACGACGGUAAUGGGGUCGCGACCAAGGCAAUGCUCGCUGUCACCAUAAGGGUGAGGAUGAAGGCGCAUCGGUGCUUCUCCAAAGAGCAAGAAAAAAGAUGCAGAUUCAAUCAAACAGUAUAAUUUUCGUCCAAAAAUUAUAACUUUUUAUUUUAAUAGUAUAAUUUUCAUUUAAAAGAAUCCAACAUUCGUUUUUAACUGUAUAUUUUUUUAAAAAUAGUACAAUUUUAUCUUAACGGUGUAACUUCAUCUUUUUCUUCCUUCUUCUUUAGUUAUUGAUUUUUUUAUUAGCAACGACGAUACAUAAUGAUUUUUCAAUGAAAAAAAUAUUUUUUUAUUUUUAUUUUUCCUACCAUUCAUAUUUUUUUUUGCUCUUUAGAGAAGUAUGAGCGCGUUUUUGUCCUUACCCUCACAGGCAAUAAUGAGCAUCGCUUUAGCCACGACCUCAUCAUCACCACCCGCUCCGCCCUUGCUUGCGUCGGCUCCAAAUCCUCCUCCUUCGACCCUAGAACUGGUGCUGGCACGGGCGAAGGUGAAGGAAGAGGAGGCGGUGCCGCUCUCAUUACCAUCAGCGAGAACUGCGGAGGCGGUGGAGAAGGUGAUGAAAAUAGGAAAGAAAAAACUAGAAAAAAAAAGAGAGAAAAAUGAAUAAGAAUAUUUUGAUCAGUUUUCUAAAAAUUCGGAUUGAAUCUUCAAAAUCUAAAAUAGUAACCGACUUUUCCAAAAAUUCAAAACUAGUGAAUUUUUUAUGCAAAUUGGCUAAUAUUUUAUUUGAUAUGUUCUCUUAAUUUAUUCAAAAAAUUAUAUACUUUUACAAUGUUAAGUAUAAUCUAAUGUUUAAAAUGAAAUAUUAUAUUUACUCUUUAAAUUACUUUUUUCAGAUAAAUCGGUUUGUUGGUAAAAUAUACUAUUCUAUCAAAAUAUAAAUAGUAAGACGUUUCAAGAAGUAAAAAAUUAAAUUUAAUACUGGCAAUUAUAUAAAUUUUUGUAAUGAAAAGUUAUUUUUUAAUAACUUAUUCUAACAUCUAAAUAGAAUUGUAAUAUGGUAGUGUUACGCAAAUGCAAAGUACCGUGCGACCAAACAAGCGCAACACUAAGAACUUAAGAAAACUAUAGGAUAAGUUUUAUGAUCAUUAGGUGAUCCCAUUAAGCAAUGAAGCAAAAGUCCUAAUCAUCCAAAGUUUGCAACUAUGAAUGCGACCCAGCUUAAGUUUCUUUUGCUUCUUCCUUUUUCUGAUUUUCUUUCUUAAGAACCAUUUUUAAAAGUGCUUCUUCUGCACGACACGUGUGGCUUCUUCAUUGCUCAGCAAGUGAACCUGACCCUCACGGUUCUCCCUGUUGACAUUUGUACCAACCACAAAAUACCCCACAAAUUUCCGUACUUGGUAAUUAAUUCCAAAUCCAUAAGUUAUUCCAUUUGUUGAUUACUAAAUCAUUAAGUCAUUAUCUACAUAUAUGCCACAUGAUUAAACUAAUUCUAGGUGACUAUUUAAUUAUUUUAGCAACCGUUGAGUUUCACUGUGCUCCAUUUCCCUCAACUAUGGAUUAGAGGACGCGUGACAGGCAAAGAUUGGACCAACUAAUUUAUUCAAUAUUUUGUGCUUUAUGUCACAGCUUUUUGGGCUAUAAAACCUACCUCAUAGCAAACGUUUCUCCACUUCUCAAAUAGAAGCUAAGUAGCUUUACAAUGGAAGAGCUAGCGGAGUCCGAAGUGAUGUGGCCGAACGACGAGGACCACCCGAUCGGUGAGCCCAGCGAUUCGAUGUCGUCAGACGUGCGAGGCACGGGUUAUUGCCAAUGCACGCGUCCGAUGGACAUACAGUGCGGCACAGCGGAGCGGACCGCCCGGGGAUCAGGACAUAAGGAUGAGGAAGGGGUGGCCGAUGAGAUGGUGCCCCCGCACGUGCUGAUCGAGCUGCGCGGAAGGGCGGCGGGGAACGCGGCCUUCUCGGUGUGCUACGGCCAGGGGAGGACGCUCAAGGGGCGCGAUCUUGCGCACAUGCGAGAUUCCGUGCUCCGCAUGACCGGAUUCCUCGAGGGACAGGGACAGAGCUGAGAAAUAAACCAAAAAUUAUAUGAGGACUGACCUACCGCAAUAUGAGACUGCGUGACUCGAAUUUUAAAACAGUGUGAAUAAUUUAUAUGUAUAUAUGUAUAUAUAUUUGAUUUUGUGUUCUCGAAAAGAUUAUUUGUUUAUGAGUUGAAAAUUCAACUACAUUACAAAGAAAGAUAUGGAGCACCAGUAAUGUUUCGCAAAACAAUUAAUCAACAAAACCAUUAAAUUUCUUGUUUUUUUUUUUUUUGGAGAAAAAUGUAGCACGCUACCCGCUUCAUUCAUUGGAGAGGUGAAUUAAGCUACAAGUGUGAGGCAACCAGGCCCCGAAAAAAAAAAAAAAAAAAAAAAAAAAAACUCACACACACACACACAAUUACUUAUAGAUGUUUAUGGCCCAAGAAGAAGGUCCCAAUCCAUCACAAGAAGUUUGAGCCUGUGAACCGCAAUCCCAGGGUUCGGAAGAAUAUUACGAAAGAUUGAGUCGUUUCUGAUCUUCCAAAUAAUCCACCAGCAGGCGACUAGAUCGGCAAGCCGAGAUCGCUUCUUAUGUUUAUCCUUCCUGACCUUCCACCUAUCCCACACGAGACUGACUUCCCCCCCGAGGUCUUGGGCCUGAAUAUCGUCCACCCUUGUCGCUAUAAUGAAUUUACAGAAAACGCAGCUGGUAAAUAGAUGGUCCACAGUUUCCUCCUCCGACCCGCAUAGUACACAGGUAGGGUCGUCUAACCACCCUCACUUAGCAAGCUUAUCACGUGUAAGGAUCUUUUUCUUGAGAAUCAACCAGCAAAACACUUUCACUUUUAGAGGGAUUUUAAGGUUCCAUAGAACAGGGGCAUGUGCAUCUCUCGUUCCACCGUCCGUCAAAGCCAAGUAGGUUGAUUUGACCGAAAAGUGUCCAUAAUUUCUUGUUAAAUUUUAGUAUAAAUAUAUAUUAAGUUGUAGUAGCUAUAAAAUUUUCGGGCCGACCCGCUAUUUAAAUUUAAUCCGGCCCAAAAGCGCUCAGGUCCGGCCCACAAAUUUUUUUUUUUUUGGCUAAUUAACGCGUGUACGUACGCUUGCGUAUUCUGUGUACAACUUUAGUUCCCCAGUUGCUUGAGAAACCGAUUAAUUGAAACUUUUGGGGGAAAAAGGCUUAUGCGUCGCAAGAGCCGUUGGACACGGCAGGUUCUGCGGCACUCCCGCCAAGUGUCACAAAGUUUCUCAUUUAAGAACAAACUUGUUUCGGAGAGAAGCGUCGAACAGCUGUUUCAAAGUUAUAUCGGAUUAUAUCAACUUAUUCCAGAGACAGAAAAACUAUUAUUUUUGAAUGCUAAAAAUAAUGUUUGGAAAUAAAAAGAAAGACGAGUAUUUAUUUCUUCCUUGUUUCUGAAUCAAACACUAUUUUAGAAACUUGUUGCCCAAUCCUUGGACAGUGAGGAAUCUACGGAUGAGAUUGCGUGGGCCAUGGUGUUCAUGUACACAUUAUUUGAACGCAUUAUAUUAUAUUUGAUAUAUCUUUUUAAUUUACUUAAAAUUUUGCAAUAUUUGAUAGAUAAGAAUAUGAUGGAAUAUCUAGAAUGAAAUAGUAUAUUCGGUUCCUAGGUUGAUUUUUUAUAGUAAGAUAAAUUAUCUGAUAGAGAAAAUAUUAUAUCAUACUAAAUCGUAAAGACCAAGAGCUUUGAAAGAACAAUAAUCGAUUUAAUCAUAUAAAAAGAAAUUCUCGCAGCAUCGAAUGAGUUUUUAUUGAGUUUAUUAUUCUGAUAUGCAAACAAAGACCUUGAAGUUCCAAACAUACAGCCUCUAACAUUCAUUAGAAUUUAACUUUUUAUAUUCAUCGUUUAGACAUAAAUUUUUGGGGCAAUUUCAUCACUAGCCCUCUUAAACAUGUAAAUAUCACAAAUACUCCUAUAAAAUUAAAAAUAUCAUAUAUACCCCUUCAAAGGUAGAAAAAUAUCACAAUUACCUUUUAUUCUAACUGACGUUAGGGUAAAGUUAUAAAAUGACUAAUUUACCCCUUAAAAGUUGUUUGGGUUAUUCUUUUGAUAACAAAUAAUAGAGGAGUAAUUUCAUGAAUACCCUUCUAAUUUCUAAUACUAAUUAUUGGUGGAUAAAAUAAGUGGAAACCCCUCACCUAUAGGUCAUUUUGAAAUAUACCCCCUUAACUUCAAUUUUUUAACAUUUAGAGAGCCCUUUAACUUUUAGUUUUUUUUUUGUUUUUGCGUUUUACUUAGUUAAAAGUUUUUCAAUUGAGAUCACUCAUACAUGAAUUUGAUAAAAUUUUUAACUUAGUUGGAAAAAAAAAACACUCAAUUGCAAAAGUAAAGAAUCACUACACUUGAGAGGAUGUAUAUAUAUAGAGAGAGAGAGUCAGGCUACUAUACUCUUAUGAGUGUGAUCGCCUUCUUACUCAUAAGUCGUUUUCAAUAAUAAAGCUUCCGAAUUGACGAUCCAUAAUGUUAAAUAUUAUCUAGAAUAUUCAAAACUUCAAGAAAUCAAAUUUUAUAAUUUUUUUAUAUCAUUACGAUCAAAAGAUCUCAAAAUUGACAAUUUUUAAUGGUCAGUAUGGGAUACUUGCUAGUUUAAUGGUGAAAAAAAAUCGGAAUCAAUUGAAUUUUUGAUAGAAAAUUUUAUUUACUAUCUAGAUAAAGNAAAUUUUCAUCGUAUUUUGAUUGUUUUACACCGUUAAACUCAAAAACACACCACAUCAGCCAUUAAAAUUGUCGAUUUUGAGAUUUUUUGAUCACUGGUCAAAUGAUGUCAAAAAAAUCUGAAAUUUAGUUUCCAAAUAUUUUCAAUAGUGUAGAUCAAGUCUAACGAAGCCGAUCGUCGAUUUGGGAGCCGCAUCAUCAAAAACAACUUGGUAGCACGGAGCGCUCCGUGCUACCGAUAGCAUAGUAGCCGGACUAUAUAUAUAUAUAUAUAUAUAUAUAUAUAUAGUCCGGCUACUAUGCUAUCGGUAGCACGGAGCGCUCCGUGCUACCAAGUUGUUUUUGAUGAUGCGGCUCCCAAAUCGACGAUCGGCUUCGUUAGACUUGAUCUACACUAUUGAAAAUAUUUGGAAACUAAAUUUCAGAUUUUUUUGACAUCAUUUGACCAGUGAUCAAAAAAUCUCAAAAUCGACAAUUUUAAUGGCUGAUGUGGUGUGUUUUUGAGUUUAACGGUGUAAAACAAUCAAAAUACGAUGAAAAUUUUAUAGAAAAUUCUUUUCACUAUUUAUAUAAGAUCAGUAUAUCUGAUCUUGAAUUUAAAUCUUUUAUCAUCAUUUUUUAUGAGAUUUUUAUUUUCAGCCGUUCAAUUUUAAACUACUUGUUUGAUAGGUAAAUGAUAUCGAAAAAUUAUGAAAUUUAGUUUCUAAAUACUUUCAAUAGUGUAGAUCAAGUCUAACGGAGCUGAUCGUCGAUUUAGAAACCGCAUCAUCGAAAACAACUUGGUAGCACGGAGCGCUCCAUGCUACCAAUAAUAUAGUAGCCUAGUUCUAUAUAUAUAUAGAGAGAGAGAGAGAGAGAGAGAGAGUUGAGCUGGAAUACUAUCGGUAGCAAACGGGCUCCGUUGUCACCCAUUCAUUUUCGAUGAUGGAGCUUCCAUAUCGACGAUCGGUACUGUUGAACAUGAUUUAUACCACUUGAAGUACCUAGAAAUCAAAUUUCAUGCUUUUCCGAUAUUGUUUUCUUGUCCAUCAAGUGGGCGUAAAAAUAAACAGUUGAAAAUGAAUAUUCUCUAAAAAGUGAUGAUACGAAUUUUGUAAUUAAGAUCGAGAGUAUAGAUCUUGUUCUAAAUAGUUUAAAGAAUUUUUUAACCAAAAUUCAAUUGAUUUGGAUAGCUUUACGCGGUUAAACGAGAAAACACCUCAUAUCUACCAUUAAAAUUACAAAUUUUGAAACCCUUUGAUCAAUAGGUCAACGAUAUCGAAAAGAUUUGAAAUUUGGUUUCUAGAUACUUCAAGUGGUAUAGAUCACAUUCAACGGUGCCGAUCAACGAUUUGAAGGCUCCAUCAUGAAAAACAAAUGGGUGGCAACGGAACCUGUUUGCUACCUAUAGUAUUCCAGCUCAACUCUAUAUAUAUAUAUAGUUCGGCUGGGAUACUAUUGAUAACACCGAGCGUUUGGUGCUAUCAAGUUUUCCGCCGUUAGAUUUAACCCUUUGACUAUUUUCACCCAUUGGAUUAUACUAUUAAGCUAAUAACUCACUCAACUCUAGAGGGCCCACAUCAUCCUAGCCAUAUAUUUCUUCUUCUAAGAGCUGAAAACCUAAUAGCGUCAAUAGCUUGGUGCUAUUGAUAGUAUUCCAGCUUAUAUAUAUAUAUAUAUAGAGAGAGAGAGAGAGAGAGAGAGAGUAGAGCAGAGCUACUAUAUUAUUGGAAGUAUAGAGGAUUUGAUGCUUCCGAUUUUUUGCCCUUAGAUCAACCUCUUUAAUUAUUUCUAACAUUUGAAUUAAUACUAUUACCUUGUGAGGACCACUCAACCCUAGUGGUACUACUCAACCCUAGAGGGGCCGCAAUCAUCCCAACCGUACAAUUUCUUGAUCAAAGGGUCAAAAAAUCGAAAACACCAAAUCUUUUAUGCUUUCAAUAAUAUUGUUACUCUACCCUAUAUAUAUAUAAAAAAAAAGAGAGUUGGGUUAGAAUACUAUUAAUAGUAUUUGUCCUUUUUUGCUAUUAAGUUUUUAGUCUUUAAUAAAUCAAUUUCUUUGAUCAUUUGUAACCAUUGGAUUAAAUAUUAUAAUCCAGUGGAAACCACUCAAUUCUAGAGGAACCACUUAACCAUAAGGUACUAAUAUCAUUCUAACUAUAUAAUUUUUUAUCCAAGUGUUAAAAACUUGAUAGCAAAAGGAGCAAAAUAUUAUCAAUAGUAUUCCAGCCCAACUCUCUCUCUCUCUCUCUCUCUCUCUCUCUCUCUCUCUCUAUAUAUAUAUAUAUAUAUAAAGAGAGAGAAUAUAUAUAUAUAUAGAGAGAGAGAGAGAGAGAGAGAGAGAGAGUUAGACUGUUAUACUAUCGGUAGCACGGAGCCCUUCGUGCUACCAAGUUGUUUUCAAUGAUGUGGUUUCCAAAUCGAUGAUCGGCUCCAUUAGUCUUGAUCUACAGUUUCAAAAGUAUUUGGAAACUAAAUUUAAAAUUUAAAAAUAUAAAUUUAAAAUUUAAAAGUUAACAAUUCAAAAUUUUAAAUUAUAUUUUUUAAAAUGACAUAUUGAAAGAGUUUCGAGAGUUAGAGAAGUAAAAUUGUCAUUUUACAUAAUAUGCAGUAUUACUGGCUUUCAGUAAUUCAAGAUACACGUCCCCCCUCUCAUUAAUAUUUUUGGUGUAAUUCUGUACCAUUUUUAAUACUACAUUACCGACCCGAUUACAUACCGGAUGAACCAAACACGGUAAUCCUGACAGGAUUGCUCGUAAUCCUGUCAGAAUAACCUGAACCAAAUGCACUCUUAUGAGUAUAAAGCCCAUGAGUUGUUUUCAAUGAUGGAGCUUCUGAAUCAAUGAUUCACUCCGUUAAAUAUAAUCUAGAGUAUUUGAAAGUUCUAAAAAAUAAAUUUUGUAAUUUUUUGAAAUUAUAAUAAAGUCUAUCAAGCAGGUAAAAAAUGAACAAUUAAAAUCGAACGGCGUUCUAAAAAUAGAUGAUCAGAUCCUUCAAUUUCAUAUUAGAGUUAUUAAUCUUUAUCUAGAUAGUGAUUAAUCAAAAAUUCAAUCGAUUUCGAUUCUUUUACACUGUUAAACUAGCAAGUAUCUCAUAUUGGCUUUUAAAAUUAUUAAUUUUGAGAUUUUUUAAUCGUAAGGUAAAUAAUGUUAAAAAAAUAUAAAAUUUGAUUUCUACAAGUUUUAAAUACUCUAGAAAAUAUUUAACGGCAUGGAUUAUCGUUUCGAAAAUUUUAUUAUUGAAAACAAGAAUGUGAUAGUAAGACUAAAAAUAUCGGGUGCCAAAAAACAAAAAAUCACAGCCGUCCGCUACGGCUCACUCUCAUCAGAGAAUCAAAACCGUUCAUAACCCUCGCCUCACCAGGAAAAAAGAAACCCUAAUUCCACUCCGCCUCCACGCUCUCCCCCUUAUAUAAACCCUAAACUCCACGUCGAUUCACAGGCCCUCAGUUCCCUUAUUAAUGCUUCGCACAGGGUAAUGUAACUCUUUCUAGGGUUUUUCUUUUCCUUCUUUGUAUUAUUAUUAUUUUUUUAUUUUUAUAUAUAUCUCUCGUUCGGGGUUCUAAAUGAUGUGGAUUUAUCAAAAGGGAACAUCCCAAAAACCAAAAAAAUAAAAAAUUGGGGUGUGAUGAUAUUCCCCUUUAAUUGAAUAGGAAGAUCUGAUAGAUCCCCUUAUUAUCCCAUCUUCUUGUUUUCAGGUUUGUAGCUUUUGUUGUUGGUUUUUUUUAAAAAAAAUAUAUAUAUUUGGGUUUUUUUUUUUUUGAAUUUAUAGCAGCAGUGUGAAUGAUGAGAACAUGUAAAAUAUACAGUUAUCCCUGUCUGAUAAAUUCACAUGAAUGGGUGCUGAGAAAAAUACUCAAUCUGACACUUCUCUGCUGUUUAAUUUUUUUAUAUAAACUAAUUUGUUUAUGCUCUGUUGAUUAUGGUGAUUCUUCAAAUAUAAUUAAAAUUUUAUAUUAGUUUUUUUAAGUUUUUUAGAACAUUUUUAUGAAUUUUUUUUUAUAAUAAAUUGCCGAUGAUGACAUUGCGAGUGGCUGAACAGCAGGUUUAUUUUAUCUGCUGCAUCUUGUUGAAACAAAAUGCAAGAACUAGGACGGUCUGAGGCAUUGAUCUCAUUUUUUUUGUUAUAGAGAAUAAUAAUAUAUCAAACAUAAAUCGUAAAGACCAAGAACUUAUGAAAGAACAAAAAUCGAGGUUUUAGGCAUCGAUAUAGAAAAGAAAUUAUCACUAACAUCGUAAUUGCACUGUUUAUUGAGUAUAUAAUUCUGAUAUGCAAACAAAGACCUUGAAGUUCAAAACAGAGAAGCAUCUAACAUUCAUAUAGGAAUAAUAACUUAAUAUAUUCAUCGAACAGAAACAUCAUAAAAACUAGGGGCAAUUUCAUCACUAGCCCUCUUAAACAUGUAAAUAUCACAAAUACUCCUAUAAAAUUAAAAAUAUCAUAUAUACCUCUUCAAAGGUAGAAAAAUAUCACAAUUACCUUUUAUUCUAACUGACGGUAGGGUAAAGUUAUAAAAUGACUAAUUUACCCCUUAAAAGUUGUUUGGGUUAUUCUUUUGAUAACAAAUAAUAGAGGAGUAAUUUCAUAAAUACCCUUCUAAUUUCUAAUACUAAUUAUUGGUGGAUAAAAUAAGUGGAAACCCCUCACCUAUAGGUCAUUUUGAAAUAUACCUCCUUAACUUCAAUUUUUUAACAUUUAGAGAGCCCUUUAACUUUUAGUUUUUUUUUGUUUUUGCGUUUUACUUAGUUAAAAGUUUUUCAAUUGAGAUCACUCAUACAUGAAUUUGAUAAAAUUUUUAACUUAGUUGGAAAAAAAAAAACACUCAAUUGCAAAAGUAAAGAAUCACUACAGUUGAGAGGAUGUAUAUAUAUAGAGAGAGAGAGUCAGGCUACUAUACUCUUAUGAGUGUGAUCGCCUUCUUACUCAUAAGUCGUUUUCAAUAAUAAAGCUUCCGAAUCGACGAUCCAUAACGUUAAAUAUUAUCUAGAAUAUUCAAAAUUUCAAGAAAUCAAAUUUUAUAAUUUUUUUAUAUCAUUACGAUCAAAAGAUAUCAAAAUUGACAAUUUUUAACGGUCAGUAUGGGAUACUUGCUAGUUUAAUGGUGAAAAAAAAUCGGAAUCAAUUGAAUUUUUGAUAGAAAAUUUUAUUUACUAUCUAGAUAAAGAUCAAUAUAGAAAUUUUGACAGCUCAUUUUAUGCCCACUUGAUGGACGUUAUUAUGAUUUCAAAAAAUCACAAAAUUUAUUUUUUAAAAAUUGCAAACACUCUAGAUCAUAUUUAACAUAGUAAAUCGUCGAUUCGGAAGCUCCAUUAUCGAAAAAACUUAUGAGUACAUAGGGCUCUAUACUUAUAAAAGUAUUGUAGCCCUACUUUUAUAUAUAUAUAUAUAUAUAUAUAUAUAUAUAUAUACCGUAAGAUUUACCCUUUGAUCAUUUCCAUCCGUUAGAUUAUACUAUUAAACCAACCACCCACUCAACCUUAGGGGAUCACUAUUAAUUUAACCGGAGACCACUAUCAUCCUAACCUCACAUCCUUUCAUCCAACGGCUGAAAACUCAAUAGCACCAAGCUAUUGGUGCUAUUAAUUUUUUAGCCAUUGGAUUGAGAAAUAUGCGGUUAGGAUGAUGUGGGUCCCCUAGGGUUGAGUAAGUGGUUGGUUGAAUAGUAUAAUCUAAUGGGUAAAAAUAAUCAAAGAGUUAAAUCUAACGGUGGAAAACUAGAUAGCACCAAAUCCUUGGUGAUAUAUAUAUAUAUAUAUAUAUAUAUAUAUAUAUAGAGUAGAGCUACUAUACUAUUAUGAGUAAUAGGCCCUUCGUACUCAUAAGUUGUUUUCGAUGAUGGAGCUUCCGAAUCGACGAUACACUCCGUUAAAUAUGAUUUAGAGUAUUUGAAAUUUCUAGAAAAUAAAUUUCGUAAUUUUUCAAAAUCAUAAUAAAGUCCAUCAAGCGGGCAUAAAAUGAACGGUCAAAAUCGAACGAUGUCUUAAAAAUGGAUAAUCGGAUCCUUCAAUUUAAGAUCGGAGUUAUUGAUCUUUAUCUAGGUAGUGAAUAGAAUUUUCUAUCAAAAAUUCAACCUAUUCGGAUUCUUUUGCAUCGUUAAACUAGCAAGUAUUUCAUACCGGCCGUUAAAAAUUAUCAAUUUUGUGAGCUUUUGAUCGUAAGGUAAAUGAUGUCGAAAAAUUAUGAAAUUUGAUUUCUAGAUGUUUCAAAUGUUCUAGAUAACAUUUAACGGUGUGGAUCGACGAUUCGGAAGCUCUAUCAUCAAAAACAACUUAUAAGUACGAGGGCGAUCGUACUCAUAAUAGUAUAGUAGCCGGACUAUAUAUAUAUAUAUAUAUAUAUAUAUAUAUAUAUAUAUAUAUAUAUAUAUAGAGAGAGAGAGAGAGAGAGAGAGNACUUAUGUGAGUUAUUUAAAUAAAAUUCAAAAAAAAAAUCUUGAAAUAAUUAAUGUUAAAUACUACAAUGGAUAAUUGCAUUACAACUAUUAUAUAAUUUAAAAGCGAAAAUCAUAACAAGAUUUAAUUAUUACACUUAAUAGAUUGUAGAUUUUUAAUUGUAAAAUUUUAAAGAGAAUGUUGAAUUAUUAUGUGAUUGAAAGGUUAAGAAUUAAUCAUAUAAUUAAUCUUAAAUUAUUACACUUAGUUAAAUUAGUAAUAAGGGUAAAAUUGGUAUUUAAAGAAUUUUAGAUGACUUUUUUAACGGAAUGUUAGUCUUAAGGGUAUUUGUGAAUAUUUUUGCUUUUUAGAGGGGUAUUCUUGAUAUUUUCUAAUUUAGAGGGGUAUUUAUGAAAUUACUGUCUCCUAGAGGGGUAUUGAUGAAAUUAUCCCUAAAUUUUUAUUUGCUUGAUCACUGCAAAAUAUGUAAGCAUGCAGUGAUACUGCAGCUAUUUCAGAGCCAUAGUUCUAUUAAGAGACCGUUUGGUUCAAAAUUUAUAAUAUUUCAAAAAUAUUAUAAAUUUUAUAUCUGGAAUGACAAAUUUAUUAUUAACUUAUCAAGUUAUUUGAAUUAAAAAGUUGUUGAUAUAUAGCUAAUAUAUUUUUAUUAAUGAACUACGCGUGAUUCUCAUUAAGUGUGAAAUAAGAAAACCUCCUAACUACAGUCUAGAAAUUUACAAUGAUUUUACUACUUCACUAAUACAUCCAACAACUAACCAGCUUGAAUUAAAUAGUAAUAAUUUAAAUAUUUUUGAUAAAACAAUUAUUGAAAUAUUAUAAAUUGUAAAUCAAACGGGCCUCUAAAUCAAUCUAGUUGACUUGACCUCCACCAUACGUGUGCAAAAGCGGUAAGACUAGUUCCGACAUUUUUAGCAUCUUCAAGAAUUUAACCUCAUAAUUACGACAAACAUUACCAAUUUCGUUUGAGGAUCUACAAGUCCAAAUUAAUUAUCCUCCACUAAAUCCAGCAAGAUGCCCACUUUCCAAGCAACCUCCUUAAAGAGAAGUUCAUAUUUUUUUAUUUUUUUGGUAUUUGGGAAUCAACUAUAAAAAAAUCCGCCCCACUUAAACAAUUCUCUAAUAAAAAAGUCCACACGCUUAUUUGGGGCCAUGAGAUUCCACGUGGCACCACAUGACUGGCUGCGCACAAACCUCAGCUCCACUUUUUGCCCCGUUGUUUGGUUUCUAAUAACGAGAUGAUGACGCUACGUUGGCUUCGGAGUGUGCUCACUACGAUUCGUGUGGAUCCGUACAUUUGACAAGUCUUCGUAAACCACAACUCCAUAUAAAUUCCCCUCCAAACCUCACCUCUCAAAUCCUUUCAAUGGAAGAGUUCGCGGAGGCCGACGUUUUGUGGCCCGACCGUGUCGGCGACGACGAAGAUCGCAUCGUCGACGUUGCACCGACGCAGCCGCACGAAGCUCGACGCACCGCAUCGGCCCCCAUCGCAGUAUUUCCUUCCAAAGAACGUAGCGAUUCAGUCGCUGCGUCAUUUUCUGAGGCCUUUACUUGCCAUGUAAUCGGUUUCGGUAGAGACGAGGGUGAAGACGGAGAAGAGUCGACGGUCCCGCCGCACAUUGUCGUCUCGCGGAGGUUCUCCGAUAAGGUCGCGUGCUCGGUGUGCACCGGAAAUGGGAGGACGCUCAAGGGGCGCGACCUCUUUCGGUUUAGGAAUUGUGUUCUUCGGAUGACCGGAUUCAUUGAGAGAUAGCAUUGGGAUAAGAAAAUUGAUCGAAGGAUUUAAUUAUUUUGUUUUUGAGGUUAGUUUUUUUUUUUUUUUUUUUUUUUUUUGAAGUUCGUAGGUGUUUGGAAUAUUGAUGCCACUCAUUGUGGCUAAUUGAUUGAUUAGUCUAAUUGCUUUUGAGCAUGUAUGUAUUGUAGGAUGAUGCGUGAAGGAAUUGGUAACAUGUACAUAAAUAUAUAUAUAUAUAUAUAUAUAUCUCUUCAAAGAAAAAUAAGAGAUGAGUGAAACAGUUGAAUACUCCAAUAAAUAUGGAACCUUUGUGAUUUUUUAACUCAGUAGUUUCUCCCAAGAUUAAUUUGUUCAAAAUUAAAUUUUGUUCUUUAUGGGUUGAUUUGUAGGGCUAAUGCUUACAUAGGUAAAUUAGAAGCUAUUUUAGAACUUUAUACGUUAUAAUUAGUUUCAAGCAAAAUGAUUUUGGAAGAGAAAUAUUCCAGCAAACCCACUUAAAAUUUGAGUUGUACAGAUUCUGGUAAAUAUGCAUGUCACACCGUCAUAUUCAUAAGGGUUGAGACUUCAAAUUAUUCUGUCACAAAAACUUACUGUGUGUUUAGAAAGGGGAUAGUCGAAGUGCGAGCUGGGUGAGUCCGAAAAAAAUUAUGCCACUGCUCGAGAUAAGGAAUUCGUAAUGCAGCACAUGAAUAUUGCAUGUUAUAUGAAAACUCGCGAAAUUGACCUCUCACCCAUCCGAUGUCGAAAUCCAAUUAAUGUCUACAAAAUGAAGGGGCCCGGCCCAUACAAAGUUUGAAACUGCCCCUUACCAGUGGGGCCAGCAUGGGAAACAUUGGCCAAACAGUUCGUACUUUGCCUUCUUAGCUUGCCAUUUUAUGGACUAGAUUAGAUGUUAGGUGAAGUGAAGAGUUAACCACAUGUGAAAAUUAGUUAUCUAAUGCCAAGAUUACACAAAACAGAUAGAAUUAAAUGCCAAGAUUACACGAAAGAAAGAAUUAACCACGUGGGCAAAAUUAAAAUAAAAAAACGUGGAACAAGCACAAAGUUGUUUUAAGUGAAGCCGCAUUAAUUGAUUGAGUAGACACCCUAUUUAUGGGUAUCUUAUCCUUGACUACAUCACCUAGGCUGAGAAAAUUCGAAAACAAGAAAAAUAUUGUAUUUGUGUCCAAUUAAUGCUAUAAUAUAAUUUUUACGGUGCCGUCGCUGCAACAAUUAGGCCUUUAAUCUAUGAGCCGCACACACAGAUCAAAUUGCACUAGAAAUUUAUAGUUGCCAUUUUACGGAGCGUUGGGAACGUAUUUAUCCAGGCCUUAUUUUCUUCGUGAUAAGAUAAUUUUGGCAUCUUGGGACAUAAGAGAGAGGUACAUUAAUUGGACCUAGUCAUUGUGUAUCACAUGUCUAACAAAUUUUUUUUUUUUUUUGAGAAAUUGGUAGCAUGCUAUCGCUUCAUUCAAUUAGAUAAAAACUUGGCUACAUAAUGAGGCAACUAAAUCUCUAGUAACUGAGUAGAAAAGGAAAAACACAAAAAGAAAAAAAGAAAAAGGGGAGCAGCAUAGAUCCUUCACAUAAGACAAGAAAAAAUAACAGAAAUAAACGCACCGUCGGAGACUCGUAAGAGAAGGUGUUACAAUACCCAAAGUUUAGCAGACUGAUUCCGAACUAUAUGGAUGUUUGCUAACAUCUAAUUUUGCCAGUGCCUUUUCUUUUGAAAAAUACGCCUGUUCCGUUCGAGUCAGAUAACCCACCAUGCCUAACAAUGGUGAGAAUAAAUUAGUCCACAAAAUAAACAUUCUUUAAACACAACAACCAAAGCUUUCGCAUGAAUGGAAGGAUUCAAACUACACAUUUGACUGGAAUUGAUUUAUGCAUCAUUAACUUCUUUAAAGAUGUGGCGUUUUAAUUUAUCAUCAUAUGAUUCACAACACAGCAAACUAAAUUAAUCAAAUGACAGGAGACAAACGGAAAUCACAUCUUAACUCAGUCCAAAAAGCAAUGAAAGGCAAAAGUAAAAUAAGAUCAGAAACUUGAUUGUUUUAUUCAUUUUUAAGAGUAAUAUAUAUAAGUAUGAAAGUACAUAACAUAUAUAUAUAGACAAGUACAACAGAAUGCCAUAUAUGCAGAUUUUAAUAUGGCAAAACCCUAAGAAAGGUACAAUUGACAUUCUAGUAUGUAUACUAACCGAAUGAAGGUCAUAUAGGCCCUCUCCUCUUAUGUACAACACCAAUCAAGUUAUCAUCUAACAACAGAAUAAGUAUGGAGAGCUAGUUUGAGCAGAGACUGCAGGCUAUUACCUACUUCCCUCUCCUCAAUUUCCUAGAUCUACCUACCACAAAUAAGUAACACGAUGCUCGGCGCGCUAAAUAGCUAAGUACCGAAAGAACCUUUCGCCUACUGGUCUCUUAUCUCUUCAACCUUCAUUCCACAAUUCUACAGCUUCUUAGGAACUCGUCGGAGCUGUUAAGGUAGGCUCGCCAUAUUUGGCGUAGCUCCGGACUUCCGAUCUCAAGCCACGGCUUCCCUGGCCCGCUAAAGUGUAGGACUGCAGAGGAUUCUAUGAGAUCAGGGUCUGGUUUAUGCCACCCUAACCCGGACAAAUGCCAAGAAGGUUCAAUAUGAUGCACGCGGCCAUUGAAAGCGAUUAACGCAGGUGGUAGAGAUCCCAUUUGCCACAGCAUAAAUUCUGAUUCACGGUUCUGCAUGAAGAAGAAGAAAAAUUAGUAAAGACUAAUCUUGAAUUUAGAAACUGUUUGGACUCAUAAACAGAUUGUUGUGGGGAAGAACAACUUGCUUUUCUGAGCCAGAACUGAUAGGUUUGUGUAAUGUCAGUCCUUCUCCACGCUUUGAGAUCGAAGACAUUCACACCCCAUGACCAUGCACAUUGGUUUCUAUGUAUACCUAAUGAUGGCGAUGAUAAAAUAGGAUUUGAGUAGUUCAAGUAGUCACCAAGUUCCCUCUCACCGCAAAAACCAUCACUCUCUUGUAGGCCAACUGCGCCAACGACAUUCCCUUUGAGAUUUAGAUCCCACAGCCCAUUCAAUUCUUUUCGCACGACAACAUCAUCAUCAAGGACGAUCACUCGAUCAAGCUUUGGAAAUAGCUACAUACAUGAAAAGUUGGCAGCUUAUCAGCUCUAAAGUUUACCAUAAACUAAGGGCCUGUUUAGCCAUAUUGGAACUUUUGCAAAAGUGAUGUUUGACUAGCGCUUAUCAAAAGCAUCAACACCUAGUUUGGUAAUGCGUUUAUAGAAGUACCCAAUUUAUACCUUAGAAGGUCCAAAAAAGUCCAAAAGUGCUUUCAAUCUUCCCUAUGUUUAUGCUACAAAAUUGCGACGGUUGUCAACUUAUACUUUAGAAAAUCCAAAAAGUCCAAAAGCACUUUCAAUCUUCCAAUGUUUAUGCUUUGAAAUUGCGACGUCAACCGCCAUCGGAGAAACAUGUGAUUACACUGAAAUUUCAUAGCAUAAAUGAAGGGAAGUUUGAAAGUGCUAUUGAACUUUGGGACCUUUCAAAUAUAAAAUUGGAUGCAUUUGGAAAUGCAUUACCAAACUAGGCCUAAGACAUUUUUUCACUUAAGUUUUGUAAAGAAAAAGUCUCAAGUGGGCACAGUCGGCACAAUGGGCACUGUCAACAUUUCUCUACUUUUAAGAUCCAAAAGCUCUCUUUUCAACUUUGUGCCAUAGCAAAAGUUUUAAAUUUUUAUUUAUCAAAUUCCUAGUUUCUAAAAACUAUUGCUCUUUGGAGUAGACUAAUCAAGAAGCCAGCCCAGGUCAAACAAGCACUAAGCAUGAUAUGCGUCAACACGACCCGACUGCUUUACCUGUGGGAGAUGGAUCUUCAUAUAAUUCAAGAUUGAAAGUGUGCUUGGUUUUAAAGCUUCCAGUCUUCUAUACUCUUUAUCAAUUCCAUUGUAGACAUCAAAAUUGAAUGAGCUCUUAUGAAUCUCAUCUACAGUUCUCAUGAUCAAUGCAUUCACGCGUGGGGGCCAAUCGAACUGGUGAAGGCCCUUGACCUCCAAAAUGCCAGGAAAGGUCGGGUGAAGGGCGAACCACGCGUGCAUCGAGUUGUAGGUCUUCUUGUCUGUGACAAUGUGGAAGACUAUCUUACUAGGAUUUGCAGAACUUUUCAAGGUGGAAGAUACGGCAACAGCAGCUGCGAGGACAUUGUCUGUUAUGAGGGCAAUAUGAAGGUACAGGGAAUUGGUCAGGCGAGAGGCGUACUCGGGCGGCGGAAGUGAGGAUCUGCCAGCUGCAUUCACAGAGUAUUCUUCUGCCAUUCUAAGGUUGAGGCAGUGCAUGCUUUUCGGGAUCCCAAUUGAAGCCAAUCUUCGGUAGUACAGAGCACGAAGUUUAGCUGUUUGUACCUUCUGGUCCAUCUUCAGAAGCUGUGUAGAAUACAUUUCAUUAAGAUAGAUAUGAUAAAAUUUCAAACAUAAUCACGUGAUAUUGAAACACGCAAAUUUAGUAAUUGAAAUGAGAUCAAUCACUUGAUAGAGUAAAAGUUUCACUGUACAUUAAUUUGAUAACAUUUCCAUUGAAUAUAAGGAGAAGUCAGAAGAGACAAUUGUUAUGUAAAAGGACCUUAUGAUAAUGUACUUCAGAAACAAUUAUAUUUCAGUUUCUUUACAUCAGAAAACAAACUAAUCAUCACCCAACAAACAAAGUUACCUUAAGCAAGAAGUUCAUGGCCUAAUCAACGACAAUAAUAGAUCUAAGUUGAACAUUAGCAAGCUAAUGACUUACAGGAUAACAUUUGAUUUUCAAAUAAUUUUUAUUAUUUCCGCAAUAGGCAGAGAUUAACUUAAACGUCAAAAUUAAAUUUUCGAACAUCAAAGUUCAUAGAAAAUUCCAGUAAUAGGAUGUUUCCAAGUUAAGGUACCAUGGCCUUGGUCUUCAGCACAAACAUUUUGAUAUCGAAAUGCUCAUAGGAGGAUGAGGACCCCAUCUCCACAAUCAGGUCAUCCAAUGAUUCAGGUGCAGCCUCCAAAUUUGCAGGAUCUAUAUGACUUCCUCCCAUUGUUUCAUCCAUGUAAGCUCUCCUCAACUCCUUCAUAAGAUCCUGCGCCGGGGUUCAUAAUUUCAAAGUUAUUGACUUAUCCAGCAAUUUAAUUCCCGUGACAAUUUUUUUUUUCAAGUUUCAUAAUGAAUUGCCGAUCAACACUCAAAGUUGCGAUGCAGCACAAGUUCAAGGACGAGAGCAACAACGGAGAAAGGGUAAAAUGAUGCUGUAACUCAACAAGGAAAAUUAUUUACUCACAAAUGUUUUACAUGUUCAUAAAAAUUCGUGCAUCUGACCAGAUGACUUCAUGUGUGGCGCCCCCACGACGAGUUAUAGAUUAUUAGACUUACAGGCACAUAAAAAAUUGCACCGAGUAUAGAUUUACAGAGUUAAUUACAGAUGGAGUUCUGUAAGGCGUGGUCGGACAAAUGGUCAUUAGUUUUACGAUCAUGAUAGUUCGGAAACGGCACACGCAUUUUCGUUCUGGAAAUUGGUAGUGCCGACCGUUUAUUAUAUGGCUUAAUAUCUGCGAAACAACUGCAUAAAUGCUUCCAUAUAAUUUUGGCAAACACGAUCCAUCAAACCAUGCCGAAAUUUUGGGGUCAAUGUCACAUAAUUCAAAGUAUGUGGUAAUCUCAUAAUAUGGGAGUAAAUAACAUAUAUAUAUUAUACAAAAUAUCACAAAAAAUGAAGAAUGUAUAUGGUGAAUUCAAUUGGCAGGAUAAAAUGGGAAACGGAGGAAUUGUCGCUUGGACCUGGUCCACCACAUUACCUGUGGACCACCAAGCAAACAGUCCAUUAUUGACGUGGUGAACCCGGUCCACAUAUAAUAAUGUCUUAUAGCAGAGUAAAAUCUCACAGACACUACUUCUGGUAGCCACCCAAAAUUAGCUACAAAAGCAAACUAUUGCCUACACCCGGUGCAUCCGAUGCACGGCAUCUUAUAGUUUAAAUAUAAAUAUAAAUAUAAAUAUAAAUAUAAAUAACCCAGCUAAGCGGGUGCACGAACUGUUAUGAUGAACCUGGUGUAGGCAACAAUUCCUGAGCUAGCGAGAGUGGAAAGGGAACGAACAAUUUCCCGUGAGUCACUCCCCUUGGAUUGUAGUUCUCUUCGGAGAAAGUGGAAUAAUUGCGCCAUGAACUUCUCUUAUUUAUUUUAUAUAUAUAUAUAUAUAACACCCUUUAUUAAAACCAUUAUUACUCUGUAGCAUCUAUCGCCAAAGAAUGUAUUUGUAAAAUUAUACCACGCGAAACUAUUUAGUAAACUGCUGUAAAAUUCGUAAAUAUAUAUAUAUACAUAUAUAUAUUGAAUUAAAGCAACUCACCAGAGACGGAUCACUUCCCCAUAAGAACCGAGUCCAUUGCACGCAACCUAAAUUAAAUCUAAGUUAUAACCAAAUUCAAAAUCACACAAAUGAGAAUUGAAAAGGGGGGGAAUGAACUUACUAAUAGAUGGGCAAAGAGUGGCCCCAGCUUCGAGGGCGAGAAAAGCGCUUCUGAUGAAGACGAAGGGCAAGAGAAUCCCCAGCAGGAGUGCGGUGGGAAUAAGCGAGCGGUAAGGGUACCUCCGAUUCGUCCCCUUCACCACCUUCAUCUCUCUCUCUCGUUCUCACAAUGCGAUCUCCACAAUUUUCCGCUUCUUCUUCUUCCCCAGCAUGAUAUUUAGGGUUUCGAUCGGGGUUUCGAACCGCGCGACUUGGCGAAGCGCUUUUGAGGAGAGAUAAGGGGGAGAGAGAGAGAGAGAGAGAGAGAGAGAAGCCGCGUUCGAAAACGCGGGGGAUGGGAUGGUUCGGGAGGGGCGAGGAGGGGAGAGAUGAAGAGGUGGAGUGGAGUGGACGGAGUUCCGAAAAUGCCCCUAGAGAAUUUGGUUUAUUACUGGCGAGACCACCGACAGAUGGGGGCGAAAGUGACAGGUUUCCCUCACUAUUAUGGGAAAACUUCAAAUACCAUCCUCGUGCAUUUUUUCGCUUUACUACUCUAUAAUUUAAAAUGUAUCAAUUUAGUACCAUAUGAUUUGGCACUUUCUCACUUUAUUGUGAUUUAAAGUGUAUCAAUUUAGUACCUGCGGUUUUUUUUUUCUUUUCAUCGGCUCCUCUGUUAAUAUUUCGUUAAAUUAUAUACAAAAAAUUUCAGACACCCUACCUAGUUAAAUUAAUAUUUCACACUUUUUCACUUUAGUACUCUGUAGUUUAAAGUGUAUCAAUUUAGUACCCUGUGAUUUCGCACUUUCUCACUUUCACACUUUUUCACUUUAGUACUCUGUAGUUUAAAGUGUAUCAAUUUAGUACCCUGUGAUUUCGCACUUUCUCACUUUAGUAUCAUGUGGUUUAAAAUGCAUCAACUUAGUACCCUGUGGUUUUAUUUUUCUCUUUUCGUCAGCUCCUCUGUUAAUAUUUCGUUAAAUUAUAUACAAAAAACUUCAGAUACCUUAUAUAUGUUUAUUGAAUAUUUACUUUAAUACCCUUUAAUUUUAACUUUGUCAUUUUUUUUCCUUCGUUAAUAUUUUAUUAAACUAUAUACAAAAAAACCUUCAGAUAUCCUAUCUGGGUUUAUUGAAUAUUCACUUUAGUAUCUUUUAAUUUUAACGCUGUCACUGAUUUAACGAAAGAAAAUUAGUGAAAUGGAUAAUAAAUAGAGAAAAAUAAAACCACAGGAUACUAAAGUGAGAAAGAGCAAAAUCACAUGGACUAACUUGAUACAUUUUAAAUUAUAGAGUACUAAAGUGAAAAAAUGUGAAACCACACGGUGGUAUUUGAAGUUUACCCAACUAUUAUUGCUCUUGGGCUCAACACUUUUAGAUUUUGGGCUUAUAGGAAUCGCACCAAAUUUCCCCCAAUAAUCAUUCCUUAGACCCCGUCCACCUUUUCAUCUGUGAACCACUCUCUGCGCUAGUACUAGUAACUCAGGCUUAAGUAUUUAGUGUAAAUAAUUUGGGCUCCACCACAAAUUACUAAUAAUAUUACUGAAACGGAAUAUAUUAUAUGAUAUCACCAUAAAGAAUAUAAUUAUAUUUUAAAUUUUGAACCAACGGUAAUUUUAUAGACGGUGGUGAUUGGAACUAAAAAAAUAAAAAUAUAUAAAAUUUAAUUUUAUUAUAUAAUCUUUCAUUUUUUUUUAAUUUGAAUCAGUUAAUAAUUUUUAAAUUUUCAAAUUCAAAUACGUUAUUUAUCUUUACCAUACAAUUCAGCAAAAUAAAUAAUCAAUUUAAAUUUGUAUUAGAAGAGUCAUCAAUUAAAUUUAAAAAUAUAAAUUAAAUGGUCAACUAUUAAAACUAAAAUUUUGUAAAAUGAUCUAUCGUUCAAAUAAGUUCGAUACAUUUUUAAUAAUAAAUAAAAGGACAUAGUGGACCAGGUCCAGGCAACAGUUUCUCCAAUUUUGGUACCCAGCUAAUGCUGACGAAUCAGACAACGUCAGCAUGCUGUACUGGGUGGAGUGAGAGCUUGCAUAAUAAAAAGCAGCUAGAAAAAACAAAUUAUCUUUUGUAUUUUUGUUUUUUCUUUCCCUUUCUCAUAACUCAUCCUAAAUUUACGCUAUUCUAAUUCGAAAAAGCGAAAAAAUAAAAUGUUCAUGCUUGCUUUAUGUUUAGUUGAGAGAUCGAAAAUUCCAUUUCAAAAACAGGAACACAAUAACAAUUAUUGAGUAGCUCGAAAAAUAAAUUAUCAUUCGCUGUCAUUUAUUUAUAUAUAAACGAGUAGUAUGAGUGUUAAUUAACAUCUAUGUUGUUGUCAAUUACUAAAAAUGUAGUGUGGAAAAUGUUAGUAGCUAGUGUAGCGAUCUACCAAAUACGUAUCAAACCUAUCAUAAUCACAGUGCAACCUAAAGCCGUAUUUAACCUGUGCACAUCAGUCCUUUCCCUAUUAAUUUGGAGCUCAAAGUGUGACAACAAGUUUUGGUACCUCAUUUUAUAGUACGUAAAGAGCUAUCUAACUAUCUCAUCGUCCGCUGCUUCGUUGCAUAUAGCGGUAAUUAAAAAGAUUCUUUCAAACCGGUCUCAUUCUCUGAGUGAAAGGUAUCUGAUAAUUUUUUUUUUAUUUAAUUUUCUACUUUCCAAAUUGUCUCAUACUUCUAAAGUAGAAAUCCCAAAACAUUGCAUUAUAAAUAAAGAAAGGCUAUAGUCUUAAUUCGAUGUCUGAAUAAAUUAUCCGGUAACACCUUUUUUGGUAUAAAAAUAAUUUUAUUGUGGCCAAAUGUUUAAAAUAAAAUAGCAUAUUUAAUCUUCAAAUUAUUUUUUUGUAAUAAAAUAAAUUAUCUCAUAAGUAAAAUAGAGGAACAAUUGCUUAUAUAUUUUUGAAAAAUUUUCGACUUUCUGAUUUCUUUCUCUUAGAAGACUAAUAUUAAAAAUAUCCUUUUACCGUUCCAAGUUAUUUCAAAUAUACCCCUGGAGUUAAAUUAGGUUAGUGAACUGUUAGCAACAACCGUUAUCUUUGUGAAAUUACUAUUUUGCCUUUUUAAAUAUACUCUUCUACCGUCAACUAUUUUUCCUAUUUGCCUUUAAUAUAAGGGCAAAAGAUGUAUUUUAAUUUUUUAUCUUUUCAAAUAUAUCCUUCUAUCAUCAUCGGCUUUUCUUAUUUGCCACUAAGUUAAGGAUAAAAGAGGUAUUUGUAUUUUUUUAAAAAAAAUUCAGGUAAAAAUUUAAUCCGAAUUUAAUUUGAGAUAACUUAAUAGAUACUAACAGCGGAGAUAUUUUUGAAUAAUAUAAACUAUACAAAGAGCAGGUUUCAAACAAAAAGAAAAGUAAGAAUAAAUUAGAUAUUUUAAAAAUUUUCAAGAGCAUAUUGGAUAUUAUUUCUAAAAUAUAAUAUUCU
rnacentral:lncRNA from 1 species